AGUGAUCGAUUCAACAAUUUCUUUCCACAAAUUUUUUUUUUUAAAAAAAAACUGUAAACAACAUUUUUGACAAGCUAAAAAGGAGAAAUGGGCUGCAUUGAUUUGGACAUACAUAUGUACUAAAACUUUGAGAAAUCAAAUACACAGAAUCGUCUUAACGAAAGCUGACCAAAUAUAAUAUUUUUCCAUACAUCCUCUAUAAACAACAUAUAUUCGAAAUUGUGUUCACAUAUAGCUCCACAACAAUGUUUUGGAAGGACAUAUGUAUGCCUUAUUUUACCACUGGCUUAUUACCACAAAAUAACCACAAGAAAUUAAUUGUUUGCUUGCUCACGCGUAGCGUGAUCUCUUACAAGACAAAAUUAUUUAGAGGUUAAUAAUUAUCAUGCAACUCAAUGCAAGAGUACGCAUGUCUAUUAAUUAGACGUUGAUACCACUCUUGUAUUCAGAGCCGGCCGUAAAGCUUUCGGGGAUGACGUCGUCGACGACACGGUAGCCGCCGUUCUUGACAAGGAAGCGGACGGAAAAGGGGCCCUUGAGCGCCGCCUCACUCUUGAGCGACCAGGUGUUAGUCGACGACUCCUUGAGCGCCACCCAGUCCUUGCCGCCCUUCUCCUUGAUCUCCACCUCAGAGAUGGCGACGUUGGUGACGAGCUCUAGACUUUUUCCGCUAGAGCCCUCACCGACCUUGAAGGUGACCUCAGUGGCGCAUGAGCCGACGACCAACAAUGCCGCCACUGCCACGGCGAGCCGGAAGGAGGACAACGAGGCCAUUGGUGAGCUAGCUAGUUUGUUGGUGUUGUCUUUCUUGUUUCUUGAAGGGUAGAGGGAUGGAUCGAGGUGUUUGGUGAUCCAUAUUGCAGCUGGGUGUGUAUUUAUGGUGGCAGGGGGCAAAGAAAACCAGGCAUGGAUGCACGGUGCGGCAUAGAGAUCGUUGGCCGGCUUUUUCGUCGAGCAACUCUAAUACAAUUCCUAUAAAUAGGUGCAAACUUGGUAGUUCCGAUUGUUUCACUGGUGCAGGACAUGCAGACCUCUCAAAAGGUAGCUAUGCAUUCCCAUGUUUUCUCUACUUAUUUUUUAAAUUGCGAAUAAUAAAAAUUUGUGAUGUUCCGUUUAUGGAGGAUAUGGACCAAGACACGAAAAUAUUAGGGGUGAAGAUGCUAACAGAAAACAGAGGGGUGGUAGAGCUAACGGUCAGGAGUGAUGGCCAGGCACAUAGAGGGGCACCGUGUAGCAUCCAUAGUAUAUGUCACAGAGGGGCCAUCAACAGCUAGAUGUUGAUGGAAUCAUGGCGGUGACAGAUGGGUCAUGUGCUGGCCCGUUGCGGCUCUGCUCGAUAGGGGACAUAGGUUAGCAUUUAUGGUGAGAUGGGGUUGGUGCUAAGUAAAUUGGUAGAGCACAGCUAGGCAGCUAGCUGGAUAUCGAGCGGUGGCGGCAGUUGAUGCAAUACAUUUGAUAGGAAUACAAGAUGACAACUCGACGAGGCGUAUGUGGGGAGGAGCACGUGGCCUUAUGAAAAUAAUCCAACAAUUCUAGGUCUCGGUGUAGAUUGUACAAUAAAAAAGAGUACACUAUAAAUUCAAUUGAUAUUUUUUUAUGGAAAAAGUACGAAUGACUCCCCCCCCCGAACUAUUGAGGUCGACCGAAUUACACCCUCGAUCUCGAAACCAGACAUUCUACACCCUCAACUAUUGAAACCGGACAAAUAACCCCCCUGACUCAAUCCGGGGUGGUUUUGGGUCCACGUGGCAGUCCAGUCAGCAUUUUUUUAAAAAAAAAAAUCAGUGGGCCAAACCUGUCAGUUCUCCAUCCCUUUCUAUCUCUCUACUCUAUCCCAAUGUCUCUCUCUCUCUCUCUCUUCUCACCAGCACGGCGGCGGCUGCGCGAGGGCGGGAGCAGGCGGUGCUGCCGGCGGCGGAGAGCAUCGGGAAGCGUCGAGGCGGGAGUUGAGCAUGCAGUUGACGGCGCCGGCCAUCGGGAUGCCGAAGUGGAGCUCACACAUCACCGGAAUAUUCUGCGUGAACACCGCGACUUGCACACAGAGACAACCAACAAGGCAACGAUUUCUUCUGAAAAUGCGAAUCACUCAGCUGCUAAUUUGGAACCAAAUUAGAAGAUUCAACAAGUAAAUUCUAAGCGAUUUGGUUUUUUUAAGCAUGAAAAAUUGAAGAAGGGGGAGAUUCGGGAGAAAAAUCCAAUUAUUGUAGCGAUUGGUGGCGCCACCGCGAAGGUCAAUCUUACCACGUGGUGGCGGUGGACAUCGAGAGCGGCGAGGGAGGCGGCGAGGCGGAGGCAGCGGUCCCGCUUCUCCUACUAGGUGCGCGUGAGUCCAGAGGAGGAGGCGACGAUGGCGGGGCGGUCGGGGUAGACGAGGGCGGCCCGGUCGAGGAAGGUGAUGGGGGUGAGCGGCGCGUGGUUGGCGGCGCAGAGCACGGCGCCCUCCAUCGCCGCCGUGGUGGCCGUGGGCGUGUCCGGCGAACUCGGGAUGGCGAGAUCAAAGUCAGAGAGACAAGCUGAGGUGAGGUGAACAAGGGCAGGCAAGGCCACGCAAAAGGUGAGGGAAGAGAAGCUUGUUUUAUGACGACAAGGCAGCAACACACAACGACAGCGCUCCUCCGCCGCCUCAACCUGCACGGCAACCUGCGCGGGCGAGCUCUGCCUCCCGCUGCCAGCCACCCGCUCCGCCUCCAUCUCAGCCGCCCGGCGCCCUCCGCCGCCAACAGCGCCGCCUGCUCCCGCCCUCGCACGGCCGGCGCCGUGCUGGUGAGAUGAGAGAGAGAGAGGGAGAGAUUGGGAUAGAGUAUAGAGAGAUAGAGAGGGGUGGAGAACUGACAGGUGGGGCCCACUGAUUUUUUUUUUAAAAAAAUGCUGACUGGACUGCCAUGUGGACCCAAAACCACCCCGGAAUGAGUAGGGGGGUUAUUUGUCCGGUUUCAAUAGUUAAGGGUGUAGAAUGUCUAGUUUUCGAGUUCGGGGGUGUAAUUCGUUCGACCUCGAUAGUUCGGGGGGGGGGGGGGGUAAUUCGUACUUUUUCCUUUUUUUUUAUUGGCAAGUGCACAUGCUGUUACGUCCAUGCAAGUUGAGAGCUAGACGUGAAAGGAGGUCCAUGGGCAAGCGCCGAGGAAUGAUGGUUGAUUGAUUUUGAUCAGGUGGUGGGGGUCGAGGGUGUUCUUCCAUUCGUGCAGCAGAAGGGACAUCAUGCGUGCGGGACUCGCUCGAGAGGGCGUGGGAGUGAGGAUGGGCUUACGGUGGACAAGGGACCAUAAACCACCACUACAUUUUUUAGGUCUUAAGGAUUUAUUAGUUCUUUACAUAUAUAUAGUUUGGAACUAAUGGUAUGUUUUCUUGUUCCUUCUAACACACUAGCAGUGUAAAGAUUUUUCUUCUAUUUAAAGUUUGGAACCAAUUGUGUAUUUACUUUAGAUCCUUUGCAAUAGAUUGAUAUUCUCGUAGUACUAUAUAAACUUUGUUGUUGACUAUAGCUUGGGGUCUUGGCCAACUAUAUGAUAUGAAGCUUAGCUCCUCUCAAAGUUGGCUUCGCUUCAAUACAUGUGUGCUUCUAUAUGAUAUUCAUGCUAGAGAUGGGAUAACGUGACUUCCAGUUUUCUGACCUCUAAAUAAGCUAAAUGAUGUAAAAAUGCUUUAUGCUUAUAGUCUGGUCACAGUAUGAUUGAUUCAACAAUUUGUUUCCACAAAAUGAAAAAACAAGUGCAAACAACAUUUUUGACAAGCUAAAAAGGAGAAAUGGACUACGUUGAUUUGGACAUACAUAUGUACUCAAACUUUGGGAAAUCAAAUCCACACAAUCAUCUUAAUGAAAGCUGACCAAAUAUAUUUUUUUCGAUACAUCUUCUAUAAACAACAUAUAUUUAAAAUCGUGCUCACAUACAGCUCCACAACAAUAUUUUGGAACCACGCAAUUAUGCCUUAUUUUGCCAUUGGCCUAUUACCAAAAAAAUAACCAUAGGAAAUUAAUUGUUUGCUCGCUCACAUGCGACGCGAUCUCUUUUUAGACAAAAUUAUAUAGAUGUUAAUGAUUCCCAUGCAACCCAAUGCAAGAGUACGCAUGUCUAUGAAUUAGAUGUUGAUGCCACUCUUGUAUUCAGUGCCGGCCGUAAAGCUUUCGGGGAUGACGUCGUCGACGACACGGUAGCCACCGUUCUUGACAAGGAAGCGGACGGAGAAGGGGCCCUUGAGGGUCGCCUCACUCUUGAGCGACCAGGUGUUAGUCGACGACUCCUUGAGCGCCACCCAGUCCUUGCCGCCCUUCUCCUUGAUCUCCACCUCAGAGAUGGCGAUGUUGGUGACGAGCUCUAGACUUUUUCCGCUAGAGCCCUCACCAACCUUGAAGGUGACCUCAGUGGCGCAUGAGCCGACGACCAACAAUGCCGCCACUGCCACGGCGAGCCGGAAGGAGGACAACAAGGCCAUUGGCGAGCUAGCUAAUUUUUUGGUGUUAUCUUUCUUGUUUAUGUACUGGUAGAGGGAUGGAUCGAUGUGUUUUGUGAUCCAUCUUACAGCUAGGUGCGUAUUUAUGGUGGUAGGGGGGCAAGAAAACUAGGCAUGGACUGACGGUGCAGCAUGGAGAUCGUUGGCUGACUUUUUCGCCGAGGGACUUUUAUACAAUUGCUAUAAAUAUAUGUGAUUUGGAUAGUCCCGGUUGUUUCGCUUGCGUAGCGUAUGCAGACCUCUCAAAAAGCAGCUAUGAAGUCCCAUCUCUUGUCUUCUUCUUUUUUUAACUUGCAAAUAAUGAAUAUUAAUCACCUCCUUAUGUUUCGUUCGUGGAGGAUGUGGACGAAGGCAUGAACGAAUUAGGGAUGAAGAUGCUAGUGAAAGCCAGAGGGCUGUGUUGUUAGAGCCAAUGGUUGGAAGUGAUGGCAAGGCACAUAGGGGCGGACCGUGUGGCACACAUUGUAGACUUGGAAGUAGGGCCAUCAACAGCUCGAUGUUUCUGGCACCAUGGUGGCAAUGGAGGGGCUUAGGUGCUGGCCUGUUACAGCUCUGCGAUUGGGGAUAUAGGUUAGCGUCAAUGACAAGAUGGGGCCGGUGCUAAUCUUAUAAAUCUAUACAGUUGGUCCAUACUAAAUGUAGUUAAUUCCAUUUCAUCCUAUAUGGUGCAUCACGUCAUCAAGAUUGUUUGCCACCGUUGGAUUUUAGUACUUGCAAGGCUAUGAUCAGUACAUAGCAGCAGCUUACCAACCCCUGUCUAGAAAGUAUUGUCACCGUAAUUAUAGCCAAGUGGCAGUGGCUAGCCGAGUUCCAAACUAAUGAAGUACGGAGUACCGUUUUAUUUUCUUUGCAAUAUUGCCUUUUUUGCAUGGAUAUUUGCUGAUUUUGACGCCCGAGCAAAGAUCAGUGGUGUAAGGAGUGAUGUGUUAAAUUGCAUACGAAAGUCAGCAGUUUCUGCAUGCCUUUGUUUGAGUCCCUGUCGUAACUACUGCGUCAUCAAUGCAAUCAUGAUAUGCAAAUUCAUCGAGUGCAAAGGCCCUUGGCCUUUCAUCUGCUCACUCAUAUCACCACUAUACUUUCACAAUAUUUCUAGAGAAAAUCCAUUAUAUGUCACUGAGUUUGUUACAUGUCUUCAAUUUACCACUGAUUUUGUCACGUUUUACAAUAUGUCACUUUUUUUUUACUUAACUUCUACAAUUUACCAUCGCCGUCUGGUUAACCUUCCCUAGUAUUAUACAUUUUUUAUCCAAAUGAUCAAAAUACUCCUGGAACAAAAACAUCCAAAAUUUGGACAAAAAUUUCGAAAUAUCAAUAUUAUAAACAUAAGAUUGUAAACAUCCAAUUUUUGUCAAAAACUUAAAAUAUGAUAAUUCAGAAUUUUUUUAUCAAACUUUAGAAGUUUUUGUCCCAGGGGUAUUUUGGUCAUUUAGAUAAAAUUGUACAGUACACAUAGACUAACCGGACGGCGAUGGUAAAAAUCGUAGAAGGUAAGAAAAAAGUCAAUGGCAUAUGCAAAAGUAAAUUGUAUACCUGUUACAAACUCUAAUGGAUUCUCUCUUUCUACCAACAAUCUUCGUAUAUCACCUGUGAAAAUGUACGUAUGCAAAAGGUAAAAAAAAAAACUUCACCACAACCCUUCCCUUCCUUUAAUAAAUCUAAGAAAAUUAAUUUACACGCACUGAACAGUAUUAUCUCACACGUUCACAUACCCGGAAGAUCUCCUCCGUCCCUUUCGAAUCGUAGGGCUGAUCAGAUGCACCGAAAAAGCUGUGAAACAUACGCGCGCGUACACAAGGUGAGAUCGCUGCUGUUUCGCUACGAGGAGUGGGAGCGCGACGCCUCGCCGCCGCCGCCGCCGCUGGCCACGGACGAGGCGGCGCUGCUGUCGUCGGCGCCGGCGCCGGCGUCGCGUUCCCGGAGCUCCUCGAUGCGGGCGAGGGCAUCCCUGAGGUCCCAUCGCUUGUCCACGUCGCUCUCGCAGCAGCCGAGGCCGACCUUGAGCAGCUUCACCAUCUCGCCCUCGCCGCCGCGAGCGCCGCGCAUCUCCUGGUCGAACACCUCGCCGGUCCACUCCUCCCGCACCACCGAGUGCACCCACCCCGCCAGGUCCGUCCCCGUCCGCCCCUGCCGGUGGUAGUUCGCCGGGAACUUGCCGGUGAGCACCUCCAGUAUCAGGAUCCCCAGGCUCCACACGUCGCUCUUCUUGCUCGGCCUCCCCGUCUCCCCGCACUCCGGCGACUUGUACGCCACCAUCACCUGCAAACACGAACCAUCCCCAGUCAAUGCGUGCCGGCCUAUACGCCGCGGGCGUUCGUCGCCGCCGCCGUCGUUCGAUCGCCUCACCUGCGCGGCGUGGCGCGGCGUCAUGACGGGAACGAGGGCGUAGUCGCUGAGGAUGGGCUCGAACGCAGCGUCGAGGAGGACGUUCGACGACUUGAGGUGUCCGUGCGGCACGGUGAGCAUCGGCAGCUCGUCGUACAGGUGCGCCAGCCCGCGCGUCACGCCCUUGAUGAUCUUGAGCCGCCGCGGCCAGUCCAGCGCCGCCAUGCUCGACCCUGCACGUACGCCACCGAUCACGCGUCGCCGGCGACAUUAACAUAAAUCAAAUAAAUGCAAUGCAGGUUGUGUCAAGAUGGGAAGGAUUGUGUGGUUAAUUACCUCCAUGGAGGAGGUGAGCCAAGCUGCCAUUGACCAUGUACUCGGUGACGAACAGCUUCUCGUCCUUCUUGUAGAGGUAGGCGACGACGGGGAGGAGGUUGGGGUGGACGAGGCGGCCGAGCCGCCGCAUGUGCUCGUUGAAGUCCUGCCUCCCGACGCCGUUCAUCUCCUUGAACCGCUUCACCACCAUGGACUGGCCUUCCACCAGCGUCGCCUUGUACGACGCGCCGAAGCUGCCGCUGCCGAGCACCUCUGCCGACGCCCGGAGCAGGUCCUCCAGCUCGAACCUCUCCCUCCCCUCCUGGAUGAACACCAGCCGCCCGUGGUCGUCCCGCCGCCCGCCGCGCUUCGCCGGCACGGCCGACACCGUCACGUGCGGCUGCUGCUCGCCGCCACCGCCGCCGCCGCCGUGUGCGACGGUGACGGCCGGAUUGGGCGUGGCCUUCAUCCUGGCGGCGGCGGCGUUGGCGGCGGCGCCGCCGACGCCGCCGCCCUGGGUUUCGGUGGUGGCCUCGCGGCGUCGGGCGAGCAUCGCCGUCAACGCGCCGGCGAAUGCCAGGAGCGCGCCGACGACGACCACCACGAGGGCGAUGAUCAUGAGGAUCUUCAAGCUGCGAGGCGACCACCACGACGACGACAGCGGCGAUGGCGAAGGUGACGCGAGGAUUGGCACUUCGGGGCACGGGGCGCCGACCGGCGGGCCGCAGAGAUUUUUGUUUCCUGAAUAUUUCCAUGGGGAGAGGUUUGGAUCAGAUGGUGCAUGAGCAAAAAAAUAAACUAAUUUUAGAGGACUUUAUUUUGGAGAAAUUGAACUAAAUUCGUGUUUUCCAAAGUACCCAAGCAGUACGAAUUGAUGUGGUUUGUAAAAGUAAAAGACAAAUGAAUUGUAGUAGAGAUAGUAUGGGACAGUUGCAUGGAUAUUUUAUAAAGUGACAGUAUUUUAAUCUUUUGUUUUUAUAUUGGUAUAUAUAUCAUAUAUGUAUGGGAAGGGUGAAAAAUAAACUUAUUUUAGAACAACAGUGGUAUCAUGGUAUGUUGUAUAAUCCGUUUUUGUUGGAUUUUUGGAGGAAUUGAACUAAUUCGUGCGAAAAUCCUAUGAAAUCAUGCGUUCACAAGUAGCCCAAACAGUGCGACCAAUCAAGGGUUUGGAUUUUUGAUUGAAUCGAUGUGCUUGAUAAAUAUGCUCUAUAGUUUUUGUUCUUCCAAAAAAGAAGAAUUAUAAAGGUAGAAUAUUGCAAUGCAUUCAGGAAUACUGCAAUUUGGUGUACACUAGCAAAAGGAUAGUAUUAUAUUACAGUGCACUAAUCUAAUACUUUUAUGUGGUUAGUUUAAUUAGCACGUUUGAUCAUGUUGGAUGUUGACUUCUGAGUUUAACAUCUUCAUGUAAGUGUUUCUUAAUUGGUCAUGACGUACUGUACAACCUCGAAAGAGCCACUUACAGUAGUUGGUAGGAAUAGUACUUUGUUUUAUUUUGUAUUUACAUAGUUCUUGCAGCCCAUUUUAUUCUUGGAUUCUGAGACAGUGAGACAUCAAUCUGGAUUUGCUUAAAGAAAUCCUUAAUUGACUAGACAAAUGUGUAAAACAGCAACAUAUGAAAGUUGGGUGAAAUUUUGAAUUUUCGUGGUAUGUUUUUCAAACAGGUAAACGGUAUGUUUGGUGCGAAAACUUUUUAUAUGAAAGUUGCUCUAAAAUAUCAUAUCAAUCUAUUUUUCAAAUUUAUAAUAAUUAAAAAUUAAUUAAUCAUACGUUAAUACCACCUCGUUUUACGUAAAAAAAUUAAUCUUCAUCUUCAGGAGAAAAGAACACCACCAUGAUCUCAACAAAAUUCCAUUACUCCCUAAAUCCUUUUAUUGAUCGCAUGUUCUGUCCUAAUUGCAAAUCAAACAUGUACUAGUCCAGUAAUUCACUAGGAAUUCGUGCAUGCACGAAUGCAUGAACAGGCAGGUAGCAAAAUUUCACCAUUUUUUAAUUAAAAAAUGUAUAAAUUCACCAUAAUUUGCUCACCUUGGAACGAUUUGGCGUCGAACCGCCGGAGGCCCGGCGGGAUGGGGCCGGAGAGGUUGUUGUCGGAGACGUCGACGAGGCGCAGCUCCUUCUGGUUGAAGUCCGGCAGGGGGCCGUCGAAGCGGUUCUUGGAGAGCUGCAGGACGAGCAGCUUGGGCGAGGUGAUGGAGGUCGGGAUCGGGCCGGUGAACGCGUUGUCGGAGAGGAAGAGCUUGCGGAGGCCCCUCAUGUGCGCGAACGCGGCGGGCGGGAUGCCGCCGUCGAGCUUGUUCCGCGACAUGUACAGCAUCUUGAGCGCCGGGAGCAUGGACACGUCGGGGAACGGCCCCGUGAGGUUGUUGUUGGCGAUGCUGAGGGCGCGGAGCCCCCGGAGCGCGGCGAGCGGCGCCAUGUCCGGGGCGGGGCCCUGGAGGCCGAGGUACUCGAGGCGGAGGCCGCGCACCUGCCCCGUCCGCUGGUGGCAUGUCACGCCGUACCACAGCGACACGCCGGUGCCGGCGCCGGCGCAGGGGCCGGGGGUGGUGGUGGCCCACUGGCUGAGCGGCUCCGGCGGCGCGCCGUGCGGCCCCCGCAGCGCCCCCCGGAACGCCAGCAGCGUGGCGGCCUCCGGCCCCCCGGCGGCCGCCGCCGCGGCGAGGGCGAGCGCCGCCGCGGCCUGCAGGAGGAGGAGGCGCACGGCGGCGACGCCGGCCAUGAGGCGGGCGGGCGGCGGGGCGGCGGCUACCAGUGGCGGUGGCGGUGGCGGCGACGUGCGGGAGGCGUGCGGCGCAUGCGCGGGAGGGUGGCUAAAGAACGGGAGGCGCGGAGGGGGAGGAGGGACGGGGAGGGAGAUCGCGAGGUGGGGGAGAGAGCAGCUAAGAAUAGCGCGGGAAGCGUGUGUGUGUGUGUGUUGGUAUUUGGCGGGAGGCUUAGGCUUAGGCUUAGACACCGAGGGAGAAGAAGAGGAGGAAAAAGCUGGCGUUUGGUGUGGGAGUCGCCGCUGGAGACUGCAACGUUUUCUUGUUCAUCACUUCUGUUUUUUCUUUGUUUCGGUUGGCAAUGGCUUAUUUGGCUGCUUGCUCGCACAUUGACAAAGGGUUUGUUUGGGAGCUGGAUUUCUCAGCUCCUUACUUCUAAUUUAUUUUCUAAAUUCUACAACCACAGCUUUUUAUAAUCCGAACAGAAAAAUGACUAUUUGGAAAAGAUGUAUCAGCUAGAAGCUUCUCCAAACAAACUCAAAGACUAUUUGGAAACAACGCUUCUCCAAACAAAUUCAAAGACUAUUUGGAAACCGUUGUUUCUGCUUAUAUGUAACAUUUAUGGCUAAAUAGGAUGUAAAUCUUAGUGACUUAAGUUAUACAUCAACUUAAAUCACCACACUACUAUUGUUUUUCCCUACUUGAGUGAUAUUCUCUUUAUUUUUUAAUAUAUGAUGUCGUUAACUUUUAGAGAUAUGUUUAACUAAAUUUUGUACAAACAUGACAAUAAUAAGUAAUGUUUAAAGAACUUUUAAUGGUAAUCAAAUCACAAUAAAAUAAAUGAUAAUUAUAUAUUGUGCAAACAUAUAUAAUUAAAAGAAAUGGUGCAAACAUAUAAAAAAUCAACGGCAUUAUAUAUUAAAAAUGAAGAUAGCAUUUAUUUGGAUUUAAAAUUGUCUGGAGCGAAAAAUAACUAUUUUUACUUAGGGUGAAGACAAUAGACCUCCAGCAAAGCUCAAUGACGAAAAAAAAUAUAUAUGACUUUUUAUUAAAAAGAAAGUACCUUUAAAAACGUGAUAAUCUCUUGGGUUAUACAAUAAUUUUCAUAACCAAACCAUGCAGGCUGCCAAGAAUGUUGAGAAAGUUGUCUGAUUUUUCUUUUACCAGCCAAGUUGUCUUCCUUUUUUUAGAUAAUGGAUUAUAUUAACCCGGCCUCUACACCUUAGAAGGUGUACACAACCCAAACCACAAUCAAGAGUACAUAAGACUCAACCCAUUACAUGGGGAUACCAAAUACAUGGGGAUACCAAAUAAUAGUUUAACAAAACGGUUAAAGAAGAACAAUAGUCUAAGCCUCAAUUCUGGUGUGUUUAGUUCACGCCAAAGUUAAAAGUUUGGUUGAAAUUAGAACGAUGUAACGAAAAAGUUAAAAGUUUUUGUGUGUAGGAAAGUUUUGAUGUGAUAGAAAAAUUGGAAGUUUGAAAAAAAAAGUUUGGAACUAAACAAGGGCCUAGUGUAGUUGUAUGCUAUAUGUAGAUCCUUUGCAGUACUGUACGUGCAGUAUUGCUAACUGACAUGUCAGUCUAAGAAUCUGUGAGACCCAUGUGUCAGCGAGCGGUACUGUAUGUACGUAUACGUACGGUACUGACAUGUCAGUCUAAGAAUCUGUGAGACCCAUGUGUCAGCGAGCGGUACUGUAUGUACGUAUACGUACGGUACUUCAGAGGACCCUCUCUCUCAGUUCAGAGCUGUAUGAUGUUUACUCUUUGUCCAUCUAGCAGCACAUCGGCAAGUUGUUCUUUUUUUUUUCUAAAGCACAUCGGCAAGUUUGGCUCUCCAUUUUCACUAUUUUUGCCAGUGACACAUCGAUCUGCACACCUUUAAUGCCGAAUUAAUCACAACAUUUUCACUUCUGGAAGCGAAAUGCGCGACAAAAGCUUUGGUUAAUCACAAGAGAUGCGCCCACCGACAAACGCGCUGUCUUAAAGAAUUUCGUGCCGCCAACUCGCGCCCACGAUUCAAGAGAAAAAUCACGAGUACGUGGCCCAUGAAUUAUAGUAUAUACACACAUAGAACAUAGUCACAUACAUCAUGCAAAAAAAAGUUAUCGCACGACAAGAACAAGGCCUAGGGAUAAUUAUAUAUGUGAUUAGCAAUAGUUGUAGAUGAUGUUGUUGCUGCUGGGAUAUGCCUUAAGUUGAUAUGCUUUUGUUCUCUGAAAAUCAUCUGAACUUGACAGCUAUAUAUGCCCAUUUCUAUGUCACAUUCAUAUAAAAUGGUGGAAUGUACCUUGAUUUUGGUCGUGAUAUUGUUGUUUUGACAGCAAAUAUUGGUCCAGGAAGAUGCAUUGGUCUAUUCGACAUCUGCAGUAGAACUUCCACCGAUUGUUCUACCUUCGGAUCAUAAAUUAUUCGAUAAUGUAAAUAUGUUGAAGAAAACUUACAGUGUGAAAACCUGAAAAAGCAUGCACGGCGGCCUCUUCUUUCUUCAGAGUUUAGUUCAGAGAGACUUUGACCGUAGUUGAACGAAUGGUGUAAGCAACACUCUUUCAGUCUCAGAUAAUACAAAAAAUUCCAGUUGAUGGAUACAUGGAAACUAGGAAGCAGGUCAGAUUUCCUACAGGAGAGUGCUGCUUAUAGGUUCACUGUUCAACCAGAAUGAUCUAAGUUUCAUCUCGGGAAUCCAAAAAUUCAGAUUUUCGAUUGUUGAAUCAGUAUAUCUUGUUCUGCUCCAACAGGAAUAUGACUGUUCUGUUUAAUCAACAAUGAAACACCUUUGUCUAUUGAAAUCCUCGUAUCCAACAUCAACAAGACAGAGCCCAUCUGGAGGCGCUGGGGGAGCAGUAGCUCGCCUGCAAGUGGCUUCCAUCAGGUUCAGCAAAGCAUCUUCUUCAGCACCAGCAGCUGCCUCCCUUAUGGCAGUCGCAACAAGAACCCUAACCAUCUGUUCAAUGAAAUUUACUAAUAUUAACUAGAAUUCGGGGGACGACUGGAUAAAUUACAAUGCCAUGAAACAACUUGAUGUAUAAUACCUUGCGCAGAAACCUGUUUGCGACUAGCUCAAUGCAUAUGGCCCUGGUGGUGCCUUCUUCACAAUUCUGCAAAAAUUGGGAAAACGGAAUGGAACAUGGUAUUACCAGUUGAAAUGAUAUAUGUGCAUGCAGAAUGCUAAUUGAAAAAAAAAACAGAUAAGGGAGUUAUCGAUUGCAUAGCCAUGAUGCUAAAUUUUAUGAGUCCACAUAAUAUAUUUAGUUUUGAUAUCAGCAACUCAAAACUAUAUAAUCCACAAUUGCAUACACGUCAUAAUGCCAUACUCAAGCUAUGCCAAUGUCCAGCAACUAAAGUUAAGGUUACAAACGCGAUACCACAAAAUAAUACUGUUACUUUUAUGUAGAGAUUAGCAGUACUAGAAUGGAAGCACUGGGAAGUAACCUGAUUCCUGACAUAGUAUAUUACCAGCAAAAGUUACAUUGUUAUUUUCUGGUUUAAAAGUUCAAUGUAUUAGACUAGCAUCACCUCAUCAGCAGUGUGUAGUUUGGCCACUGCAGCUCGAGAAUGGAACAUGAAACACUCUGUAGGUGGACCACUGCAAAACAACAAAACAUCAACAGAAGUUUUUUUUUUUUUGGUUGAACUUGAUGGCGAGCAUAAAAAUAGUGACAUGGUCAUUUACAAGGAAAACAAUAAUGUUAUAUUCCAACAAAGAUGAACAAAUAUGUCAGGCCUAGGUGAUUAAUUAUCAUAAAACAGCAAGAGAACCACUUUUGUACUUGAAAAAUACACAAAUACACAAUAGUUAUAAACUUACACACUUCGUGAAGCUUGUGUAUCACGUGCAAACAUCUUGUAAGAUAGUGAUUUUCCUUCCAGUUGUCUAAUGAUUUUGUCAACCUUACCCACAUCAAAGCUUUGAGGUUUUAUGUUGCACUCAGGACCCUCUACUGUUUUAGCGGACUGUUCUUCCCCUGAGAUUAGUUUUACAUCCUCGUCAAGAGGAAAUAUAUACAGGUAUCUCCUCCAUUUGGCUGCAAAAUUAGGGUGAAAUUCACGUGAGACCUGCAAAUUAUGCCAUCAGUUAAUAACAAGCGUAGCAUCACCCAUGGUGGAUGUCUUGACAUUCUAAGAACUUUACAUGAAAAAUGGACAAUUCUACCACUAGCAGCAAUGCAGCAUACAUAUCAAGUGCAGUCAUAUAUUCUGAAAAAGCAAAAGAAAAAUACCUGUGACACAUGCAAAGGUCUUAGUUUAUCAGGUGCAGCCUUGUUUAUUGCAUCCUUUAUAUCACUAGACUUUACAUCCUUCCUCCAUGUAUCUAAGGAAAUUAGAAGUAAAUACACAUGUCAGCUAUCAGGAGAAGUAAUGUAUCUAGUCCCAUGGUGUAUCUCAGCAUUCCAUUAGAGUUAAUUUCUCACAUAAGUACACAAGGAUUGUCUAUUUAUUUGUGCAAAUGAGUUCUUCAUGUCAUAUCAAAUGAAAUGAAUGGCAUGCAUUGGUGGAGUUAGUCAAAUAAGAAGGUUAGCAGUUCAUUGCACGUAGGCCAGAGUUCUGCACUGCUAUAUCUCCAGGCUAUUACUUCUUUGAUAGGAAAACAGUGGUGUAUUUGGUAUUGACAAAUUGUUGUGUUAAUGAUUUUAUAAUCAGAAGCAAAUUACUUGUUCAAAUGCUUCUGUAAACAAAGCAAAAUUUUCAACCAAAAAAAAAAAAACUCUACAAAAUAACUGCACAUAAGCUCUUCUUGAGAAGUAGACCCUCCAUCCCAAAAUAUAAGGUAUUUUAGAGUUGGCCACAGAUAUUAAAGAAAAAGGUAAACAUGAUGGAUGUUGUGAUUGGUUGAGAUGAGGAAGUAGGUGGAGAAACUAAAUGGGGAUUGGUGCGAUUGGUUGAGAGGUGGAAAGGUAGCUAAAUUUUGGAACAAAGGGAAUAGUUUGUAAUAUGACAUGUUCAUAAAAGUGGAUAAUUAGUUGAAGGACCACUGGAAAACAAUAGUGUGUUCUCAGGUGCAACUAACAAAAUGAGCAAACUUGCUGAAGGGCAGUCACCCCUUUGUCUGUGCGCCCAGCAACAACAGCACAGCCUUCUAAUGGCAAUGAUCUUGCUUCAAGCUGUUUAGCUUUCUUCUCGUCAACAAACUGGCCAAGAUGUUUUUCUACUAACCUGCAAGAAAUACAGAGUGCAACAAAUGGUUUUAUCCUGUCAUCUGUCUUGAGAUGCAAAGGAAGUGAAGAAUAAAAGUGCCAGAUAUGUCUAUAGAAAUGACAUAACUCCAUUCUUAUUUAUCCUUACCCUUGAACAGUGUUGAGGCCAGGCUGCUUCUGCCAACCAUCAAAUGACCCCCCAUGAUAUGAAAGGACAAUCUUGAAGGUUACUCUUUCCCAUCGUCCUCCUCGAUCUUUGGAUGAUUUAGUUGAUGUUUGAUUUUCUGAUGGUGCUGUGUAAUCUUCUCCAUUCGUAUCAAGGCUGUAACCAUUCUGUUGAAGAAAAAUCCGAUAAAUCUUACUGAAACAAACUAAAAGUACUAGAAACGGACCUGCACCGACAAAUUCCAAAAUCUACUCUAUCCUCCAAGAAAAAAUGUGUUCACCCAAAAGAUUUCAAUUUCUCUAAAACGAUGUGUACUACUUAGAUGGGGAAAAUACCAACAUUUGGCUCACUAAGAGAAAUUGCAACUAAUACUAACACAUUUUCCCCUUCCCAUUUACUGAAUGCGAAGAACCACUACCUCAGGGUUUCACAUGGAUAAUUCUAGAAACAGGCCUGCACCGACAAAUUCCAAAAUCUUAAUCUAUCCUCCAAGAAAAAAAUGUCUUCACCCAAAAGAUUUCAAUUUCUCUAAAACAAUGUGUACUACUUAGAUGGGGAAAGUACCAACAUUUGGCACACUAAGAGGAAUUGCAACUAACACUAACACAUUUUCCCCUUCCAAUUUACCGAAUGCGAAGAACCACUACCUCAGGGUUUCACAUGGAUAAUUAUUUAAAAAAUAAUAAUAUCAUUCCUUCUCACCUCAUCCUUCCCAAACAAAUCGGCGAGCCCCGCUGCCCCGGCGCCGGUGCGCACGAGCUCGGCGUAGAAGUCGACCACCCUGCUCCACGGCCGCGCGUACAUGUACUCGUAGCUCUCCCUGCCGCAGCCGCAGUGCCCAACCAAAACCAAAACAGUUACUACCAAUCAAGCCCCAAGCCGCAGAUAAGCCCUAGACGAUGGAGGAAGUGAUGGGGGGGAGCCGUUACUUGGCUGUCCACCGGAGGUGGUGGCACGCGUCGGUGUGGUUGUAGUGCGCGUGUUCGUCUCCCUCCGCCGCCGCCGUGGAAAACGACAAAGCCGGAGCUGGCUUCGCCGCCGCCGCCGCCGCCGCCGCCGCCGUCGCCAUGAGGGGCCGGAGCUUCGCGAGCAUGUUCUUCCCUUUUUCUUUUUGACCGUAAUUUGACCGUAAUUUUUUUCAAGAAAAGAAAAGAAAGAUGGUUGUUGUACAAUUUGAAUCCAUGGAUUAGCACAAUUUGACCGUAAUUUUUUUCAAGAAAAGAAAAGAAAGAUGGUUGUUGUACAUUACCUUGGAGAGAAAUUUAGAGAUCCUUAUCCUCUCACUCUCACUCUCUCGUUCUCUCUCUCUCCCACUCUCUCUCUCUCGUUACUCUUCAAGCCGGCUGACGGGGGCAAGGAGGGGGGGCGUCCAGGUGUAGAUCGGGGUCGGAGACGGCAAUUCUGGUGGCGGCUAACUGGCCUGGCAACGCAGAUCGGUAAGAUGGGUGUAUGGGCGGCGCGGAUGCUAGGGGACGGCGACGGCGAAUUCGAUGCGGCGUCUUUCCGGUCCCCUCUCGCACAGAUCCGUCAUCAGCUGCGACGGGAGGGGUUGGAUCCGGCGACCUGUUCCUCUCCCGCUCAGAUCCCGUUGUCUCUCCGUGCCCCGCUCACGCAGAUCCGCCGCCGGUGUUAACGGGAGGGUCAAGAUCCGGCGGUUCUACCGUGGUCGUGGCCUCCCUACCGCCGCCGCCUCUGCACGCGCGGCCCCUACGCCGCCCCCGCCCCUGCUGCCUCCUUCUCCCCCACGCCGUCUUCGAUGGCUGCGAUAAGGGGCGGCGGCGGCGGCGGUGGGAGGCGCUAGAGGAAGGGAUAUGAAGGGGAGGCGCAUGGUCCGGUGGGUGAAGAAUGAAGAAGUGGGCGGUCGAUGAGAUGGAGGCGAAGGUGGCGAGAGGUGGUCGCCAAGACCUCCGUCGAGCAUCUGGAUCCGGCAUCCCUUAUCCUAGCGACUGAUGGCGCUGGCGCGUUCCUCAUCCAUCUCGAUCUGACAGCGCCGCCGUAGGAGGAGGUCACCAUCUACCAGUCCAACGACGCCAAUGUGAGUCCUCAACCCAAUCAUCCAGACACUUUCCUCUGCAUCCUCUUUUGAUUUUCUCUUCUAUCCAGGAUACUUGGUGCUAUCUUUUGGUUUGUGCUUUCACCGAUAAGUCAGGGGACCCGGUGUUGGUUGCUAAGCACAUCGCAUUUGAGGAUGCAACUUCUUUUUAAGUCCUUAUGGGGUUCACCACAUUCCAUUAGCUCAUCAGAUUUGUCUCUGCUUCUUCUGGUGGAGAACCGUGUUUGACAACACUCCUUAUGUAGUCAUAGUGUCCAAGCUACAUACACUGCAGAUAAUCUAGUUGUGUAUUAAUCUACAUUUCUUCAGAUCUUCAGAAACAUCAUCCGGCUCACUGGAGCUAUGCUGAUAGGCAAGCCUUACGGGAGAAACAAUGUCCGCAUUAUACUGAAUUUCUUUCGAGGCCAGGCUGCGGCCGGCUGAGUUCGAGGAGAGUUGGCCCGCGCCGUGCUUGCCAACGACCGACGUCCUUGACUCGCCGUCAGUUCCAGCCACUGCCUCCCAGGUGCUUUAUUUUUUAAGACAAUAUAUCAUGUUGUUGAUGUGAAAUUUUGGGAUCAUCUUGUAUAGUAGUAAUCCGGUUGCUUAGAAAUUAGAAUACGGUUCUUAUCUGAGCUUGUGUUUUGAAAUGUGGAAUUGCUGGACAACAGUUUUGUGAUCAUGCUUUUAUGUUGUUUAUAAUAUCAUUUACAUCCCAUGUUACAUAUUUUCCUUUGCUUAAACUAAAUUGAGAGUUGAAUCCACUGUCAUUUAUUUGUUUCAAGUAUUAUUUUUUGUGAUUCUCAGCAUUACAUUUUCACUCUGAUACUCCCACCGUUCCAAAAUGUAAUGUGUUUUAGUUUUAUCCUAACUCAAAGUUAUCUUCCUUUUAGAAAAUAAUCUGGGUAUUUGAUGCAAGUACAGUAUGAUCUAACCUGGUCAGCAUUCUUAUAUAAUGAGUUAUUCUUUGUAAUGAGCUAGAAGUUAUAGAUAUAAUUUAUUCGUUAAAUCCAUAGUAUAUUUUCAUCACAAAAUUAAAAAUUAGAAGUGAUUUUUUGCUUCUCUCUGAAGUCAUGAGUACAUUGUGACUACAUAUGAUGGUGAAACUGGUCUGGUAGAGGGGUCAAAUUAUCUGUUAGUAAAAAAACUUGAAGCAUAUAUUGUUUAACUUUAUUAGAUUUAGCAUGCGAUGAGCUUUGCUGAUCACCUUCAUAAUUAAUGCAAUGUGCGUCCUUAACAUUUGGAAGGACAUUUGAAUCCUUUUUUCGCUUAUAGGCGUCAUGACGUUUCUUAAGUAUUCCUUCUUUUCGUCAGGCAUUUUGCGCAUACAGCUUUGUGUCUCUGUCUUCGUGUAUUGGGAUCUAAGAAUGGGGACGAUGAUCCAGAUGGCGCAUCUAGCUUGGAAGAUGAAGCUGUACAUAAACAUUAUCAACAACAAAAGCAUGAUGUAUCUUCUCGAAAACAACGGUGAGAAGCAAAAAUAAUUUAAUCAUUCACUUAUGUUUUUUCAGCUGAUUUUGUUCAUUUAAAUGAGCCGCAGGAUGUGUUUAUAUAUGUGUUGGACUUCGAUGGAAUCAAUUAAUACACCAAUUCUUUUGGUGGGGAUUAUUCUAUCUCAAUGUUGAGAUAGCUUGCCUGAGCAAGGUCAGUUAUCAAUUUUGUGCAAACUACAGCCAUACUACUGCAACCAAUUUUUUUUUCUCUUCCAAUGUAAUAUCUGAUCACAUGGUUGUUUCCUGCUCUGUUUUGGUUGCGAUGUGCAUGCUUCAUUGGUCAUCUGUUUGGAAACACUCAAUUCUGACAUGUACCAAUGUAGUACCAAAAAUUUCAUGUCUUAGUUUGCUAUGCCAUGAUGCUUGAUCUAAAGAAACUUUUGUUCUGAUAUGCGAUAGAGGUUCCACUUGAUUUUCUAGGCAAGUUAUUCGUUAUUGUUUUGUUUUACUAAUGUUCCAUAAUAUUCUUUUAUGUGUUCUCUAUAUGCAAAUACUGUUAAGUUUUUUUUUAUGCUUUACUUAUGCUAUUUGAAAUACCUUUCACGUUAUGGCCCUAGGAAGUAAUAGGGGAACUCAAGCAACAGUUAUGUACACAAAACACCAAGCUAUAGGCCAAACAUUUAAACUUUAUACGUAGGUCUUCUUUUGUGUGCGCGCGUAGUUAAGGGAAAUUGUUUGGCAGACUAUACAUCCGAAAUCAGAAAUAAGUGUAGCAAAUAAAAAUAUAAUGAAGUAAUAGUGGUAUUAUUUUGGUUAAUAGUUUGGUGUGAUAAUUUUUUUUUGGAUUUGCUAAAUUUCUGGCACCAUAAAAUUCCAUUGAUUACAGUCGGUUUGCAUGCCUAUGCGCUAUGCCACACAACCGCACAGGCCUGAGGCCUCCCAACUGUGCUUCCGUGAGGUUGAAGAUUAUUUCCACACAUACAUCAUGAUGAGAGAUGAUUAUAUAUUAAUUACAUAUAUGCAAUUUCGAGACUUACAUAUGUAAUUUUGAGACUUACAUAUGUAAGUUUGUGACUUACAUUGUAAAUACAAUAAAAUUGCAUAUGUAAUUUAUAAACUUACGAUGUAAAUACACACCGACUAUUUUUUGGUGAAAAAUAUGGCGCCAUAAAUAUAGCUACUCCCCUUUUUUUUAGCUAAUAGAAGAUGGAUGGUUUUUUCUUCAGAAUUACUAAUAAAAGAUGGUUGCCUCUUAAAUAAGGUAUGAGAUCCGAUCAAUCUGGUGUUACCUUGCUGAGCUUGGUAGUUUUAUUUCCAUGUAUUUUUUCCCUCUUAAGAUUGACUGAUUUAUGUUAAUUGUUCGUUAUAUGUCAUAAAUAAUGUAUACAUCAUUAAGGUCUAAAGAAUUACCUUUUAUCGUUAUAAAUGCAGUAAAAGCAGAUUGAGUCUCACACCGAACAUGAAUUGCUCAGUUUCAAAAAAAUAUCUGGGUAUAUGAGUAGCGCCGAGCAGAGAUUGCUUAGUUCCACACCAAAUUCUGGGUGCAUAUAUUAGUCUUGUUUGUGCUUUCAGUUUUAUUCUAUAUAUAGGUUGAGAAGUUGUUUGUAUCCUAAUCGGUCAUGUAAUUCUUAUGUUUGGGUUCUAUGUAAUUUAUGUGCUGGACUGAAUUUGUAAUUCCUGGGCAAUGGGCCCAAAAAUACCGCAUGCGGGAACUGGAGACGGACAGCUAAAAAAACGCGUGCAUUGAAAAAAAGGCGGACUCACUAAAAAGAGCGUGUGCGCAAAAAAAAGGUGGAUGGGCCCACAGAAAACCGCGUGCGAAAAAAACCCUGACGGACAAAAAAAACCGCGCGAAAAAAAAACGGACAGAAAAAAACCGCCGUGCGCGUGUGGGAAAUCGGCGACGGACCAAAAAUAAUGACGGAAGCCUUAAGAAUUUUUUUAUUAGGUAUAGAUUUGACAAAUUUCCUUUCCUACAUGUGUCGGUCAGUGUAUUUCCCUGCAUGGUUUCCUAUCAAAAAAAGACCAAGAAAACAGGUGUUUGGUUGUGAUUAGUUCACGCUAAAAUUAGAAGUUUGAUUGAAAUUGGAAUGAUGUGACGGAAAAGUUAAAAGUUUAUGUGUGUAGGAAAAUUUUGAUGUGAUGGUGACGGAGCUCGUGGCUCCUCACCGGGAGACCGCGCAGGCCCCCCUUUGCCGGUUCGGCCGGGGGCUUAGGGUGAAAUCUCAAGCUCUCGCUCUCCCUCUGUAUCUGGAAAGAUCGUCUGCCCGCAAGACACACGAGACACGACGAUGUAUACAGGUUCGGGCCGCUGCGAAGCGUAAUACCCUACUCCUGUGUUUUUGUGGAUUUGUGUAUGGACAAGUUACAAAGGAUCGACUUCCUUUCCUCUCAGCCUUCCGAAAGGACCAAAAAUCCCCCGUUCUAAGCUCUAAAUCUCGAAAAGAAUCCCCCCCUCUCUAUGGGCAAGGUCCUCCUUUUAUACUUCAAGGGGAUACCACAUGCACCCUUCCCUUUCCAAACUGGACUUUUCUUCUCUUUAUGGACGGAGAUUGGUAUGGUUGCUGUCCGAAUGACACUCCGAUGGGACAGCCCACACCUACCUCCACUCCCGGCGGAGACAGGCGCAACGUGGGAUCGUGGCUGCCCGUUGCUGACGCGACCAGUGCCAGACCGGUCAUUCUUGUCCACCACGCGUCAGCUUAACAACGUGCAUGUUUGCCCUUCUUCGUGUAACACCUUGCCUGUAAUGGUUAGGAUGAAGCCUGGUAUAAAUCUGACCAGGGCUAACGUGCCAUCUCUAAGAGAUAACACGCUAGCUCCAGCUUGAGACGAGUGCCUAGAGGCUUUCGUCUUGACGGGAUGGGGCAAGGCGUGCGUCAGACCGCCAGUCGCCACCUAACCCGUGAUCUGACCGGUCUGUGACUGGUCACAGACCGGAUAAAGAAACGCGCUGUACUGCGUUGCAUGCAGCGUGACACGCUUGACCAGACUGCAAUAAAUGCUGUUAGGUGAGCACAGCUGUGAUCACUUAUCCCAUGUAUGUGGCGCAGACUUCCUUAAGGGGUCGGGGUGCCUCGGCCCUCGGGGCCGGGGCAAGCGCAACCAGACCCCCCCCCCUCGGGGGAAAUCAGGAGGAGGGCGGACACCUCACCCUCGGGCCCGACGUCCCCGAAGGUGCCAGGCCACGUGGGCGAUUGCGUCUGCCUCAAGCCUCUGGUCAUGAUACUCCCGGUCCCAUAUCACCGACAGUAGCCCCCGGCGUUAUGCCAGAGCAAUUUCCCUUCCCAAGGGAAGCGGUCAGGUGUGACGCCACCCCUAAAGCCUGGUGACAGGUGGGACCGGUCUCCGUAGUUGGGCAAAAUACCCAACGGUCUCAAUCCAUGCACAUUGGUAUUGGUAACUUUGGUUGUCCAUAAUGGGCGGUCUAUUCAAGACUGCCACGCCACUUGAGCAGCGCGCGAAUCUGGGUGAGCAGAUUUGUCUCGCCCGGAGAUAUGGUAACGCCGCUUCGGUCGGCGAGCGUAAUUAACGCGCGCACGAUACAAUCCAUUUCGAUUGCCACAACCGCAUAUCCACUCAAUGCGCCGCAAGCGGGCGAAUGGGAUUAGUGGAAGCGUGGGCACGGGAAACGAGGGAGCGAGAUAGCGAGAUACGAGGGAGCGAGGUAGUGGGCGCGAGAAACGAGGAGUCAGGCCCAGCGAUGGCAAGGGUAUAAAAGCAUCGAGAAAAGGAUUUGCUUCCUUCCUUUCGCCAUUGUUCCUCUUGCCUUCGCCACCUGAGCUCUAACUCUUUCUCUGCUACGCCCUACUUUCGCCACACGCGCUCGUUCUCAAUCAUCUCUUCCUCCGCCGCCAUGGCACGGGGCUCUGCUCUGCUCGACGGCAGUGUACUACCGCCUUCCCGCAUCGUGAAUGAGAGGCACGCCGGACUGCCGCGCCGCUUCAUGCCGGAGUCCGCCACCGGUCGGGAGAUAGUGAUGCUGGGCGAGGGGCGCCCGGCACCAGACUACCCGGGGCGGUCCAUCUUCUUCCUCCCCUUUGCGAUGGCUGGGCUGGUCCCGCCAUUUUCUCAUUUCUUCAUGGAUGUCCUGGAGUUCUAUGACCUCCAGAUGGCGCACCUCACCCCUAAUGCGGUGAUGACAUUGGCCAUCUUCGCGCAUCUGUGCGAGAUGUUCAUCGGGGUGCGCCCCUCUCUUCAGCUGUUCCGGUGGUUCUUCACCGUGCAGUCGGUGUCACCGCCGUCGGUGGUUGGCGGCUGCUACUUCCAGCCGCGGGGGCCGGUGUUGAACCGCUACAUCCCCUGCGUCCUUCGCAAGAAGUGGGACGACUGGAAGAGCGACUGGUUCUACACCCCCCUCGCCAACGAAGCGCGCCUCCGACUUCCAAGCCAGCCCCCGGCGCAGGUCUCCAGCUGGCGGGCACCGGUAGAUCUGGGGGAGGACUACGACGCCGUCCUCGACCGCCUGGCGGGCCUGCGAUCCCAGGGGCUCACCGGGGCCAUGGUGUACGGCGAUUACCUCCGUCGCCGGAUUGCGCCGCUCCAACGGCGCGCCCGGAACGCCUGGGAGUACACUGGGCCUGAAGACUACAUGCGGACCCACCAGGGAGCCAGAUGGGAUUGGGCUCCCGAGGACUUCAAGAUCGUGGUCCAAAGGGUGCUGAAUCUUAGCUCCGCGGAGGCGUCUCGCAUUCCUCAGGAGAUCCUCCCCCUCUGCAGCGAUCCCGACCGCGCCUCCAUUCUAACCAUUAUGAUGGGGGUCGGGGCCUCAGAGGAGAGAGCCCCUAAGGGCCACGACGGCGCGGGCGAGCGCCGCCGAGGGGAACAAUCUGCCCCAGGAGGGGGUCGUGCUUCUGGGCCCCGCGCCGGGGGCUCGGGGAGCAGCCGCCCUGCCGACGCCCAGGGGAAGAGGAAGCUGGGAGGAACACCUCCCCCAUCUCCUCCCCGAGGGGGCGGGGCGGCGCGUGCCAGCAGUCGGCGCCCGGAGGGGGCCGCGCCGACGUCGCAGCCCGAGGGGGAGCGCAAGAAGAAACGGCUCCGCAAGACGGGGGAGACGGAACCAUGCCGGGGGAACCUGAUUUCUCCUCCAAGGUGGUCAUUCAACCGACCCCCUCGCAGGUUCGUCUCACUCUCAUUGCAACCACCUUUCUCCCAAAGAGAAGUUUUUUCUUACUCAUUUUGUUCGUCUUUUGGUUUUUUCUUCUGCUUCAGCGAUGUCCCGUCGCAUUCCUCCCGCCACCCCAAAUCCGGCCAGUCCGAGGCCGAAGAUCCAGCGGCCGCAGAGGAGCGGAGGCGAGAGUCUGACCGGCGUGAAGCCGCAGCCCGCCUUCGGGAAGCUGAAGAGGCCGCCCGGGUUCGCCAAGCGGAGGAAGCUGCUCGGGAGGAGGCCGCCCGGGCUCGCCAAGCCGAAGAAGCUGCCCGGGAGGAGGCCGCCCGGGCUCGCCAGGCUGAGGCGACAGCUGCUGCUGGCGCGUCACUUGGGCCUACUCCCUUGGGCGGCCCUCAGGCGACAUCCUCCGAGGCGGCUCGCGACGAGGCCGCGGGCGCAUCGCCUGGGCCUACCUCACCGGGCGACGCCCAGGACCAAACGGGCCCGGGGGACAUCCCCGAGCCCAGCGCAUCCUCCGGGGGGCCAAGCCGCGUCGCCUUUUCUCCAAGGCGGCUCUUCUCCUCAUCUUCUGUCGCCCCGCUGAGCGCCGAGCCCCUUCUGCAGGCCCUGGCCGCCGCAAACACCGCAGUGCUGGAUGGGUUCAACACCCAAGUGGAGGCCCUGCGUGCAGAACGAGCGGAGCUCGAGGCCGCAUGGGCGCGUGUUGAGGAGGGGCGGCGCUCGGUGGACGCCAUGGUGGAGGUGGGCCGUAAGGCUCACCGCCGUCAUGUCUCGGAGCUUGAAGCCCGGAAAGCGGCGCUGGCGGAGAUCGCCCGUGAGGUGGAGGAGGAGCGGGCGGCCGCCCUCAUCUCCACCACCGCGAUGAUCGAGGCGCAAGACACUCUCCGCCUUCAGCACGCAAGCUGGGAGGCGGAGCUGAAGAAAAAGCUCGACGCCGCCCAAGGGGUCCUUGACUCCGCCGCUGCCCGAGAGCGGCGGGUAACGGAGACUGAAGCGGCGUUUCAGCGGCGCGAGGAGGCCCUUGAGGCCCGUGCCAUGGCGCUGGAAGAACACGCCGGCGCCGUGGAGAGGGGCUUGACGGACCGCGAGGCCGCCGCUGGUCUCCGAGAGGCGACGCUGGCGGCGCAUGAGGCCGCCUGCGCCGAGGAGGAGUGCGCGCUCCGCCUCCGCGAGGACGCACUCGCUGAGUGGGAGCGAGCUCUCGAGGAGGCUGAGGCCACGACCAAACGGCUGGCGGACAGCCUGUCCCUUCGCGAGGCGGCGCAGGAGGAGCAGGCGCGCCGCAAUCUCGAAUGCGUCCGCGCCGAGAGAGCCACACUGGAGCAGCGGGCUGCUGACCUCGAGGCGCGGGAAAAGGAGCUGGACGCAAGGGCGCCUAUCGGCGGGGCGGCCGCGGGCGAAAGCGACUUAGCCGCCCGCCUCGCAGCUGCCGAACACACCGUCGCGGAAAUGCAGCGAGCGCUGGACUCCUCCACCGGGGAGGCCGAGGCCCUUCGCUUGGCGGGCGAGAUUGGGCCCGACAUGCUUUGGGAUGCGGUCUCCCGCAUGAAGCGCGCCGGUCGUCAAGCAGGCCUCUGGAGAGGCCAGACGACGGUGCCCCCCACCAAUCUGGAAGGCCUCGCUCCGCACCUCAACAGGAUGGCCUGGGUCCUCGAACGACUCCCCGAGGAGCUCGAGAAGACCAUCAAGUCAUCCUCGAGGGACCUCGCCCGGGGGGCGGUUGAACUCGUGCUAGCGAGUUACCAGGCCCGGGACCCCAAUUUCUCUCCCUGGAUGGCGCUGGAGGAGUUCCCUCCCGGGACCGAGGACGACGCGCGCGCGCGCGUCGGGGAUGCUGCUGACCACAUCGUCAACGGCUUCGAGGGCUCGGCCCCUCGGCUCGCGUUCGCCCCCAGCUCCGACGAGGAGGGCGACGCCAGCGGCGAGGACGACGGUGGCGACGAGGCCGGCGACCCGGGCGCAUUUGAAUGAGCCCCCAGGCCCCCGCCAAUCUUAACUUUUUUCUUGUUCUUUCUUCUAAGGCCUUCAUGCCUCUUUUUUGUACAAUUUAACUUAAUCUGCAAUGAGAAAUGAUGAAAAAAUUUUUGUGUUAGUUUUAUUUUGCUAUAUGUGAGAUGAGGAUGAUCUGUGCCGUGGUCUUUUUGCGUCUUAGCUUGAAAUAAGGGCCCAUGCCCAAGUCCCAGUCCUCGAAAAGCGCGGGUCGGGGCUAGUGCCUGGGGAGAUCCGCAUGUCGAGACUGGCCAGGCCGGGAACGUGGUGACCGAGGGUUAUGGGUGACCCAAUUGUGGGUUUUUGCCGAUUCCCCCCCGGAGUUCACCACGCCCCGGGGCACGGCUCGGUUCUGGGCCCCGUUUGGCGAUUUUAGCUGACCGAACCGAGCCCCCGAGGGCAAGGUUGAGCACGAGUGACAUUAUUUCAAGUCAAGAUUCUUCAAAAGGAAAAAACGGCACAGACACAACCUUUAGAAAAUUGAAACUGCUUUUAUUGAAAUGCUGAAAUAAAGGAAAAAGGGAUAUAUGUGCAUGUGUGGUAGCCCCCGGCCAAUCCUGCACACCCGAGGGGGGUGCGGGGUUGGCCCGAGCCAAAACCUGACACCCGACCCCCCCCCUUUCAGGGGUAGAAGCGACGAAGGUGUUCGAUGUUCCACGGGUUUGGCAGCUCCGUGCCGUCGCCCGUGGCCAGCCGUACCGAGCCCGGCCGGGGGACACCGAUCACUCGAUACGGACCCUCCCACAUUGGUGAGAGCUUGCUCAAUCCAGCACGCGUUUGGACGCGGCGUAGGACGAGGUCGUCGACGCAGAGUGAUCGGGCCCGGACGUGGCGCUGAUGGUAGCGCCGCAAGCUCUGCUGGUAGCGCGCGGCUCGGAGGGCCGCGCGCCGCCUUCGCUCUUCUAAGUAGUAGAGGUCAUCUCUGCGAAGCUGAUCUUGAUCAGCCUCGCAGUACAUGGUGGCCCGAGGAGACCUCAGGGUGAGCUCGGAUGGGAGAACCGCUUCUGCGCCGUAGACGAGGAAGAAAGGCGUUUCCCCGGUCGCUCGGCUUGGUGUGGUUCGGUUUGCCCAGAGCACCGCUGGCAACUCCUCGAUCCAUGAAUCGCCGUGCUUCUUGAGAAUAUUGAAGGUCUUGGUUUUAAGGCCUUUGAGGAUUUCUGCAUUGGCGCGCUCCACUUGGCCAUUGCUUCUGGGGUGGGCAGGUGAGGCGAAGCAGAGCUUGAUGCCCAUGUCUUCGCAGUAGUCGCCGAAGAGUUCACUAGUGAAUUGGGUGCCAUUAUCCGUAAUAAUACGGUUAGGUACUCCAAAACGGGCCGUGAUGCCCUUAAUGAAUUUGAGAGCAGAGUGCUUAUCGAUCUUGACAACCGGAUAAGCCUCGGGCCACUUAGUGAACUUGUCGAUCGCAACAUACAGAUACUCAAACCCGCCCGGGGCCCGUUUGAACGGUCCCAGGAUAUCAAGCCCCCAGACAGCAAAUGGCCAUGACAGUGGUAUGAUCUGCAGGGCCUGGGCCGGCUGAUGGAUUUGCUUGGCGUGGAACUGACACGCUCUGCAUCGCCGGACCAGAUCGACUGCGUCAUUGAGAGCUGUCGGCCAAUAAAAUCCUUGACGAAAGGCCUUGCCAACCAGGGUACGCGAGGCGGAAUGGGCUCCGCACUCGCCCUCAUGGAUGUCAGCAAGAAGCUCAACGCCUUGUUCCUGAGGAAUGCAUUUCAGGAGGAUUCCGUUAGCCGCGCGCCGAUAGAGGGUCCCUUCUACCAGCACGUAGCGUUUGGAAAUGCGUUGUACACGUUCACUCCCUUCGCGGUCCUCAGGUAGAGUCUUAUCUGUGAGGUAUGUUUGGAUCUCAGAGAUCCAGGCAAUCAAUCUAAGGGAGCUUGGAGCGCUCCCUUCGGGUCCCGAGGCCUGGACUCCGACGGGCCUCGGGGGCCGGUCAGGCGCAUCCGUCUCCCCUAAGGGGUCGGGUCGCGCCGACGGCUGGGUAAGCCUUUCUUCAAAGGCGCCCGGUGGGGUCUGGGCUCGCGAGGACGCGAGCCUUGAGAGUUCAUCGGCAACUAUGUUAUCCCUUCUGGGUACAUGCCGAAGUUCUAUCCCAUCGAAAUGGCGCUCCAUACGCCGCACUUGGCGUACGUAGGCGUCCAUCUGUGGGUCAGAGCACCGGUACUCCUUACAGACCUGGUUAACGACUAGCUGGGAGUCGCCUAAUACCAAGAGGCGGCGGAUCCCCAGUCCAGCUGCCACUCUGAGUCCGGCAAGGAGUCCCUCGUACUCUGUCAUAUUGUUAGUCGCUCGAAAGUCGAGACGGACCAAGUAUCUGAGGACGUCUCCGUUCGGAGAGGUCAACGUGACCCCCGCACCGGCACCCUGGAGGGACAGAGAACCAUCGAACUGCAUCACCCAGUAGGUGGUGUGAGGCAGCUGCGAGGGGUUCGUGCUGGCCUCGGGGAUUGAGACGGUCUCUGGAGCCGGGGUCCACUCUACCACAAAAUCGGCGAGGGCCUGGCUCUUGAUAGCGUGGCGUGGUUCAAAGUGCAGAUCGAAUUCAGAAAGCUCGAUUGCCCAUUUUACCACCCGUCCUGUACCCUCUCGAUUAUGCAAGAUUUGCCCGAGGGGGUAAGACGUAACCACAGUGACCCGAUGCGCCUGGAAAUAAUGGCGCAGUUUCCUCGAGGCCAUCAGAAUAGCGUAAAGCAUCUUCUGGGCCUGAGGGUAUCGGGUCUUGGCGUCCCGGAGGGCCUCACUAACAAAGUAGACGGGCCGCUGCACCUUUCGGCGGGGCCGAUCCCCUUCGCUAGGGGCCGUAUCCCCGGGGCGUUCUUCAUCCAAGUGGCCUCUCGGGGUGCACUCGUCUUCUGUGCCGAUGACCUCGGGGUCGGAGGACGACAGGAGCGGCCUUCCCACAGUGGCCUCGGGGCCGUCCUGGGGGUCGGGGGCUCCUGGCGUCAUCGGACAAGCGGGCAAGGGGCCAGCUCCGGUCGUCAGGGGCCUCAGGCCUCCUUUCGGCUCGGGGGCCUCUUCUCCCUGCUCUCUCCCGGGUCGAGUCAGCACAGGGUUAGCCUCGGGGCCAAAGGGCGAUAAGUGCGGCCUUCCCUCAGUGGCCUCGGGGCCUUCCUGAGGGUCGGGGGCACCCAGCACCGUCUGACAAGCGGGCAGAGGGCCGACUCCGGUCGUCGGGGGCCUUAGGCCACCGUUCGACUCGGGGGCCUCUCCUCCCUGCCUGCUCCCGGGCCAAGUCGGCACAGAGUGGGGGUGCGCAGAAUGAGGAUUGUCCUCAUCGCGCUCCACAACCAACGCUGCACUAACUACUUGGGGGGUCGCUGCUAAGUAAAGUAACAGGGACUCAUUUGGCUCCGGGGCGACUAGAACCGGGGGAGAGCUAAGAUACGCCUUUAACUGAGUAAGGGCAUGUUCAGCUUCCUCCGUCCAAGUGAACGGCCCGGAGCGCUUGAGGAGCUUAAACAAGGGUAGCGCCUUCUCUCCCAGCCUUGAUAUGAAACGACUUAGGGCGGCCAUGCAACCGGUGACGCAUUGCACAUCCCUAAGUUUGCUGGGGGGGCGCAUCCGCUCGAUAGCUCGAAUCUUCUCGGGGUUGGCCUCAAUGCCUCGGGCAGAGACCAAGAACCCGAGAAGCUUGCCCGCAGGUACACCAAACACACACUUAUCAGGGUUCAGCUUUAUGCGGGCGGAGCGGAGGUUCUCAAAAGUUUCCGCUAGAUCUGAAAGUAAAGUUUCUUGGUUGCGCGUUUUUACAACCAAGUCAUCAACAUAAGCCUCAACAUUACGUCCUAUUUGGCUACCCAAAGAAAUUCGAGUAGUACGUUGAAAAGUAGGACCUGCAUUCUUUAACCCGAAGGGCAUUGAUGUAUAACAAUAGGUUCCUACGGGGGUAAUGAACGCAGUUUUCUCCUCAUCCUCCCUAGCCAUGCGAAUCUGAUGGUAACCAGAGUAUGCAUCUAGAAAACACAAAAGGUCGCACCCCGCAGUGGAGUCGACGAUCUGAUCUAUGCGAGGCAGGGGGUAAGGAUCCUUAGGACAUGCCUUGUUAAGGUCGGUGUAGUCGAUGCACAUCCGAAGCUUGCCGUUCGCCUUGGGAACGACCACCGGGUUCGCCAGCCACUCCGGAUGGAUGACUUCACGGAUGAAUCCGGCCUCCAGAAGUCUCGCCACCUCCUCGCGGAUGAAGGCUUGACGUUCCGGGGCCUGCCGCCGCACUUUCUGCCGGACCGGCCUUGCGCCCGGCCGCACGGCGAGACGGUGCUCAAUCACCUCCCUGGGGACCCCGGGCAUGUCCGCUGGUCUCCAUGCGAAGACGUCAGCGUUUGCCCGCAGGAAGGAGACGAGCGCGUCUUCCUAUUUGCCAUCCAGAAGACCACCAAUCCGUGUGGUCUUGGAUGGGCCGUCGCCCAAGGCAACCUCCUUGACCGGGACCUCGUCGCAUGUGGCAAUCCGCUGCCUCGGGGCGGUGGGGGCGGAGGUGCCAAGCCUCUCGUCACCACCCUCGGGCUUGGUCGCAGCAGCGAGGUGGUCCGCGCGCUGCUCCAUGCAAGCGAGCGCGACUUUAAGGUCGCCACGGACAGAGAUGGGGCCCCCGGGGCCCGGCAUCUUCAUCUGGAGGUAGGCGUAGUGGACCGCCGCCAUGAACUUCACCAACGCGGGUCUCCCCAGGACCGCGUUGUAGGGCAGACUGAGGUCCGCCACAUCGAAGUUCACCCGCUCCGUGCGGAAGUUGGCUGAUCCACCAAAGGUGACCGGUAGGUCGAUGUGACCUAACGGCCAUGUGUGCCCCGGCGUCACACCGAUGAUCGGUUGAGACGGCUGGAGCACCAUCCCCGGGGCCUUGAUAGCAUCAAAGGCCGUGGGGGAAAGGAUGUUGAGAGCCGCUCCUCCAUCUAUGAGGACACGCCCCAACUUCACGUUGCAGAUAGUGGGGGAAACCACCAUCGCAAUCUGCCCUCCCCGGGCAACGCACGGUGGGUGGUCGGUCUGAUCAAAGGUGAGGGCCACCUCCGACCACCGCGCCCGACGCGUCGCCUCAUGAGUAGGGGCCGCGGCUAGAAGCUCUCGCUUCAUAGCCUUGAAGCUCCGGCGAGAAACGUGAGCACACGCUCCCCCGUCGACAGUGGCAAUGGUGGCCCCAGGUUCUUGGAAACCUAGGUCAUCAUCACCGUCAUCGGGGUCAACGGCGGGGGCCUUCUGUCUGGCCUCACUUCGCCGUCUACCGGAGGGAACUGCCGCGGACUUGCCCUCACGGCGUUCCUGCCUCCUGUCCUCCUCCCACUUCCUCGUUCGCUCAGCCAAAUUUUUGACUGCACGACAGUCCGCGAGAUCGUGGAGGGAGGUGUUGUGGACGGAGCACCACUUGCUGGCUGGGCGCUCCCGGUUGGGAGUACCAGCCUCUUUCUUUUUGUCGCUCGCAGGCCUCCCCUUUCGGGUGGCCCGCGGAGCGCCCUCGACGGCGAGGACGUGCCCCUCGUCGCCGGAAUGGGCCGACCUUUUCUUCCUCCUCCUGUCACGCCGCCCUGUCUGAGCGGCGGAUCCGGGGGCGGCCGAAGCUGCCACACCGGAACCGGAGGGGUUCCAGGUCCAGGCCUCCUCCUUACGAGCCACUCGGUCCGCGAGCUGAAAAAGCUCUGCGGUAGUCUGGGGCUCUUUGGAGGCAAUCUUUUCGAGCAUGCGGUUGUGCCGCACACCCCCCCUGAACGCGUAGAUCACCGCGUGUGCAGGGAUGCAUGGUAUAGUAUUGCGGACUUGGCAAAACCGCUGAAUGUACGAGCGAAGCGACUCAUCAUCGCCUCGCUGUACUGCAUGCAAGUCCGCUUCUUCGCCUGGGCGCGGAUAUGUGCCUUGGAAGUUCAUGGUGAACUGUUGGCACAAAUCUUCCCAGGAGUGGACCGACGCGGGUGGCAGGUUCAUUAGCCAACCCCGCGCCUGUCCUUUUAGGGCCAUGGGAAAGAAGUUCGCCAUGACCCUGUCGUCACCCCCAGCGGCCUCGAUCCCGGUCGUAUAGACCUGGAGAAACUCGGUGGGGUUGACGCUCCCAUCGUACUUCUCGGUGAUGGUGGGCCGGAACCUUGGGGGCCAACGGACAUUCCGAAGACUCGCCACAAAGGCUCUACAGCCAACACCACCGGCCGGGGGCACGGAGGGCUGAUCUUCACGUCCGUGUCGAGGUGACAUUCUGGACGAGGAGGCGCCCUCCGUUGCACGGGGAGUACGCCGGCUAUUACGCCUGCGCUCGAUGUUGAGGCGGGCAUCCGGCUCCCCAUGCUGAUCCUCCCGAGUCGACGGUGUCGACGAGGGAGUGGCAGCCGAAUGACGUGCAGCCGCCGCCGCUCGCCGCGCCCUCCGCCUUGAUGACACGGAGCCGGUGGUAGCGGCGCCGGAGGUCUUGGUGGUGGCGGACCGUCCACCAGCACCCAGGCGCUGCUGUGCCGUCAUGACCAAGUUGGCCACGUCUUCCAGCCAUCGUUGGGCUGGAGACUCCGGGUCAUGGACGACAGGCGGGUGUCGUAGGAGCGCGCCAGCAGCCUGAAGCGCACCCUGAGGCGUGCUGCCGUCGCCGUAGACGAGGAGGCGACGCUCCCCAUCUCGCCGUUCUCCUGCAUCACCUGCGACUGGUGAUGCCACGGAUUUGUCGACCCUCUCAAGCGCCUCCCCCUGCUUAGGGCUUUGGCGCGGAGGAGGUGGGGGAGUACGAGCUCGACGGCGUGGAUUCGGCUCCCCGUCGUCGCCGCUCACACUCGGAGAGAGGUCGUGCGCUUUUCCCUGCUCGGCCAUUAGGCUGAACAAGAAAAACUUGGCGCACACGGAAGAGUCUGAGAGCUCAGAAAACACACGCUGAGCCCCCUACCUGGCGCGCCAGAUGACGGAGCUCGUGGCUCCUCACCGGGAGACCGCGCAGGCCCCCCUUUGCCGGUUCGGCCGGGGGCUUAGGGUGAAAUCUCAAGCUCUCGCUCUCCCUCUGUAUCUGGAAAGAUCGUCUGCCCGCAAGACACACGAGACACGACGAUGUAUACAGGUUCGGGCCGCUGCGAAGCGUAAUACCCUACUCCUGUGUUUUUGUGGAUUUGUGUAUGGACAAGUUACAAAGGAUCGACUUCCUUUCCUCUCAGCCUUCCGAAAGGACCAAAAAUCCCCCGUUCUAAGCUCUAAAUCUCGAAAAGAAUCCCCCCCCUCUCUAUGGGCAAGGUCCUCCUUUUAUACUUCAAGGGGAUACCACAUGCACCCUUCCCUUUCCAAACUGGACUUUUCUUCUCUUUAUGGACGGAGAUUGGUAUGGUUGCUGUCCGAAUGACACUCCGAUGGGACAGCCCACACCUACCUCCACUCCCGGCGGAGACAGGCGCAACGUGGGAUCGUGGCUGCCCGUUGCUGACGCGACCAGUGCCAGACCGGUCAUUCUUGUCCACCACGCGUCAGCUUAACAACGUGCAUGUUUGCCCUUCUUCGUGUAACACCUUGCCUGUAAUGGUUAGGAUGAAGCCUGGUAUAAAUCUGACCAGGGCUAACGUGCCAUCUCUAAGAGAUAACACGCUAGCUCCAGCUUGAGACGAGUGCCUAGAGGCUUUCGUCUUGACGGGAUGGGGCAAGGCGUGCGUCAGACCGCCAGUCGCCACCUAACCCGUGAUCUGACCGGUCUGUGACUGGUCACAGACCGGAUAAAGAAACGCGCUGUACUGCGUUGCAUGCAGCGUGACACGCUUGACCAGACUGCAAUAAAUGCUGUUAGGUGAGCACAGCUGUGAUCACUUAUCCCAUGUAUGUGGCGCAGACUUCCUUAAGGGGUCGGGGUGCCUCGGCCCUCGGGGCCGGGGCAAGCGCAACCCGACCCCCCCCCCUCGGGGGAAAUCAGGAGGAGGGCGGACACCUCACCCUCGGGCCCGACGUCCCCGAAGGUGCCAGGCCACGUGGGCGAUUGCGUCUGCCUCAAGCCUCUGGUCAUGAUACUCCCGGUCCCAUAUCACCGACAGAUGGAAAAGUUGAAAGUUUGAAGAAAAAGUUGGAAACUAAACCAGCCCAUUGAAGUGAAAGUCUGGGUUCUUAUACAACUUCAAAUUAUUUUUUUCUUAGGUCUUAACCUACAGUGUAUUUAGUAGUACUCGUAAAACUAAGAGGCUUGAAUCAGUGUUUGUUCAGUUUUCUUUUUUACUUUAAUUACGUGUGGUUGCAGUUAGAAGCUAACAAUGAAGGUUUCGUGACUGCAGCUGCGCCGCAGCAACAUUACCCUACCAAAUAGUCUCAGUAAAAAUUUAAGGAAUUUAAGUUGCAUUGGAGUUAUACAAUUCUUAGCUUCUAUUUUCAUAUUUUGUGUAAUAAAAUUUUAUUCUAUGUGAUAAUUUAUAGGCCGUCAAUGUAGUGAUUUUUUUUUUUAACUAUCCUUAUUAUAAUAUAAUAAAUAGAUGUAAAGUGAGCUACCUCAACUGGUUAUAUUCGUUAGAUUCUUUUUUUAGUGGAAUUAACUCACUAGGGGAUGCUCGCAUUUACAUUUACUUAUUGUUUCAGUGGUAGAUGAUAUAUCCUCGAUAGUGAUGUGUCAUUCAAGCAUACUCUUGUAUCUCACAUUCCUAAUAAUUUCCAGAUGGGCAGUGAAAACAAAACCAUACUCCAAAAACAAACUGUCAACAAACGGACACUGAUUCAUCUUAUAUUUUUCCAUCUUCUUGUUGAUUUCCUGUAGAACUGUACCAAGUUUGCAAGGACAUCAUCAUCUAUACAGAAAAGUCAAAAACACUCGAGCAACAACAACACUGACACAUCGAUUAUGAUGUGGAUCUUCCUCUUCCCAGAGAAUGGUUUCAAGUUUACAACACGAACUUUUCGUCGCGGCAGGCAUCUCACAUUACAAAUGCUUUCCACAACGCUCCUCUCUACAUACAAUUGCUAGUCGGAACAGCAAGAAACCUAACGAGGUAGAGUUCUUCCGCCAUCAGAAAAAAUUUUAACACCAACUUUGACUCUGAUCGAUCUUGACAACAAGAUGGAUGGAUGGCAAUGCGAAAUCGCCGGUAGCGAAAACUUGAAUCGUCAUAAAAAACUUCUGUGUGACUUUUAUAUCUUGUACAAAUCCUCGUCCGGUGGAUCCUUUAUGCUUCCAUCUCUGGAAGGGGAUGACAAUGCCUCCAGGCCUGGCUGCUGGCCAUCAGAGUCUGGAGAUGGGAUGUACAGCUUGCAUUCCAAAGACGGCUCGCUCUUGCUCCGGCCAUUCCCUGGCCGUGUUCUCCUGCUCUGAGGCACGGGUUUUCCAUUUACCGGUGCCGGUGCCACGGUGACCGUUUUUGCUGCUGGUUGUUCUUGUUUUAUCUUCUCCGGCUCGACGCUCUCCGUAGGGUCCUUUGCAACCUCGUAGAGUGUCACUGCACCCGUCAUGCAGUUCUGCAAGAGUAUGUCUUGGCAUUCAGGCAUGUUUUGCACAGCCUCAAAGGUCUCAACAACCUGGCUCAUGGUGGGUCGUCCUUUGGGAUUCUGGCUCAAGCAUCGGUACGCAAGGCCUGCCACCUCAAUGGCAGCCUUGGUGGAGUACUGCCCUUCCAUUCUUGGAUCGAUAAUCCUGAACAGCUUCCGAUUGUGCACGAGGAGGGGACGUGCCCACUCAACUAGGUUGUGCUCACGGCUAGGCCGGCUCUUGUCCACAGCCCUCCUGCCUAUGAUCAUCUCGAGAAGGACGACACCAAAGCCAUAGACAUCACUUCGUGCUGUCAGAUGGCCUGUAACAGAUCAAACUGGUUAGAGUAACAAUUUAACAUACAUGAUGUCAGCUACAAUGAUAUGCAUAUUCAUACUUAAGAACAUUAAAUGCACUCAAGAAUGAACGGGUUGGCAUUCUAAAAAUACAGGGAGAUUCCAUUGCUCACCUGUCAUGACAUAUUCAGGAGCUGCAUAGCCAUAAGUACCCAUGACCCGAGUUGAUACAUGGGUUUGGUCUCCACUAGGUCCAGUUCGUGCUAGGCCAAAGUCUGACAGCUUGGCAUUAUAAUCCUGCAGAGGUGACACAGAGUGAGACUGCGGCAGUAUCAUAAGAUAAUCGUCAACAUAUAACAUCCCAAGAUCUGAAAUAAGAUAUUUAGAUCAGUAUUCCUUGUGCAGAGUUGCAUGGUUUAAUUGGAUGGAUGAGGGCACACAUAAUAUCUACUAUUUAAAGUGGAACCAUGGAGGAGGACCAGGGACAAAUAAAUGAUUGAUCAAGUGUUUCAUUUGUAAUCGUCCUUACAUACUUUUUGCUGUGUCACACUAAUAAAUUGAGAAUAUUAAAAAGAUUUCAGUCGAAAUAUCAGUGGUAAACAGGACUGUGUUGAAGAGCAAGCGGGACCAGAUCCAAACUGGUACGUUAUUGAGAUCGCUGAUGUUUAGAAUCUUACUGCUGAAAGAAUUGAAUCAUUCAUUCAUCAGAAGAUUUAGUAGCUUUGACCAUGCUGGCAGCAACUGAAACCACCAUGACGGUUUGGAGGGCAAGCACACUAUUCUAUCACUACUUCAGAAUCUUGGAUUCUGUAAAGACAGUUAUGGGCCUUAUGGCUAGCAUGUAGGCUAAGUUAUCCGGUUAACUGUUAGUUCUGUCAUUCCAAGAGUUCAGAACAAUGUAGGAAAUGGAAUCUUGUCUGGGUUGGAAAGAACAAAGUUGCUAGAGCCUGAUGAGAUGGAAUUCCUAUAACAAGUGAUUGAAAAAGGGUAAUGAUAUCAAAGUAUUCAGAUAGUAGAUGAAGUACAAACCGCAUCUAACAAGAUGUUUGAUGUUUUGAAAUCUCGAUAUAUAAUUGAUCUCUCAGCUCCGUGAAGAUAUUCCAGCCCCCUUGCAGCACCUAGAGCAAUCUUCAUUCGAGUAGACCAUGGCAUAUUAAGGCAAACCCCUGUUAUCAAUUAUCAUACGAGCAAGAAGAUAAAUCAACAAAAGUGUCCUUUAGCAUGGAAAAAUACAUGUUCUCUCAAUAGAUCAAUCAAAGGUGAGCAAGCCAUGCAGCAAGAAAAUCGUUUCUUCUUUUUUCACUAGUAGCGUAGUUAGCAUGUGCAUGCAGAUUGUAGAAUCAACUAAACAGUUCAACUCAGACAAAAUCAACUGGCCAACUUGAUGAUACGGCCGGUAAAUUAAAUACUUCCUCCGUUUCACAAUGUAAGUCAUUCUAGCAUUUCCCACAUACAUAUUGAUGUUAAUGAAUCUAGAUAGAUAUACAUGUCUAGAUUCAUUAACAUCAAUAUGAAUGUGGGAAAUGCUAGAAUGACUUACAUUGUGAAACGGAGGGAGUAGCUAGUUGGGACUUGGGAGAACUUCAAAACAUAUGCUAACCAUUAUCGUUUCAAAAGAAAAUCCUUUAUUUUUGAAAAUUACAUGGAGGGAACGGGUACACAGAUACAACUAAAUUGUAUAUAGUGGUCACUACUCAUUAGAUUAAAUUGCACCAGUAAAUCGAGCACUGAAAGAAAUAUAAGUGUGAAUGCAUUUAUAUUAAUUCUACUGAUAGAUCUGCUCAUCUUGUUGAAAAUAAAUUAGUGUUUUUGUUCAUGCAGCGUGCACCAAACUGACCAUUUUCCUUUUUACUUUUGAAAAUGCAAAAACAAUAAACAUGUUGCAGGUUCUGCUGCCAUGGACAACGGCCAUUCAGUAGGUGGGAGUGAUAACUGUCAAGAAGGAAAGGGUCAGCUUACGGCGAAAAAGAUGCUUUUCAAGGCUGCCGCAAGCCAUGUACUCGUAAACAAGCAGUCUAUGAGAGCCUUCACAGCAAUACCCAAUCAGUUCGACUAGAUUUGGAUGGCUAAGUUGCCCAAGGUAGUUGACUUCUGCCUGGAAACAAAUAAUAAAACUAUAAGUAUCUGAUAUAUGCUGUUUAAUCAAACACUAAUCAGUAUAAAAGUACUCUUUCAAUGUCCUUGCUUAAAAUCAUAAAAUGUAAAUAAGUCAGGUAAUAUAGAAACUACAAUAACAAACAACUAUUAUGAUCAUUAAAUUGAAUCGUAAAAUCUAAUUAGCUGAUGAAGGCUGAUAGACUUGUGUAUAGUUCAUCAUGGUUUCAAAAAAAAUGAAAUAAAGCAAGGAUACUUACCAACCAUUCCUUGUCACCCUGAAAUCCCUCUGGGUUUAAUUCUUUCACAGCAACUUGUGUGGAUGGAAAGCCCGCUCUAACAUUUUCAUCAAUUACACCUUUGUAAACAACACCAAACCCACCCUCUCCAAGAAUUUGGUCAGGCCGGAAGUUUUUUGUGGCUGCUCUUAGUUCAUUAUAUGUGAAAAUAUUAACAUUUCCGUAUCCUUCGAUUUGCAGGUCCUCCACAUCUUUUGGAGGGGCAAGGACACUUGCUGUAGCUUUAGAAUCAGAUUUGCAUUUCCUUAACCCAUCUGGCCCACCAGCUUCUGCUUAUAGAAUUAAUAGAAAAGAAAAAACAUCAGGGAAUAAUCAAUUACAUACGAACAUUAAGAGCUACAAUGUGGCGUGAUUAUUUUGCCUUAGUACUUUAGUUUUUUAAUUCAUAUAACACCCCCCAUACAGCUCCUGCUGUGCAGUCUCUGUAAUGUUGUUGUGCAUUAUGUCAAAAUGAUAAUCUGAUAAGCAUAACAUCUUAGUUUGUAAAUACCACUAACCUACCCAAAAUGGUGUUCAUCUUCUAACUUAAGAAACAUGUGUUCCAUUGUGUCAAGCUACAAUGUCAUUUUGCAAUAGCUCUACAGCAACAAAAGUAUUCAUUGAUCAUCCUCCACGUUCAAGUGGCAGGUUAAUGUGCAGCUAAAGGCCAUGACAUGACAAAGGAAGGUCCCAAUUUAAUUUGGUAUCUCAAUAAAAUUCUAGAAUAGCUCCAAACACGCAUUUGCUGCUCAUGGUCCUAUAUGCAGGACAACAUUUGUCAUCUCUUCCAGUCUCUGAACAAGAAUCUUCUAUGCAGAACAGACCAUUUGCAUCUAAGUUAUAGGGUUACUCGAUACUUCCAUCCAACCAACUUAAAAUCUUCUAGCAGCUUUGCCAAUGUAGUUCAAACCAAGUUAUGAGCUAAAUUUGACUUGCUGCAGUUUGACUUUUCAGGAACCGUGACUGCAAAUUUCAUAGACAACAUACCAGUACAUCAUAAUAUCGUGUCCUCUACCAGCCAUCAAAGAGCAAAGUUUGUACCAUGCAAGUUUCGUCUUUGUCAAAGAAAAAAGAGAAACUAAGCUACAGAUAGAGGCCUGAAUGUAACGAUGUCCAAUAAGAUAAAACUUUUAGCACUUAGAGAAUGGCAUUCCUCACACUCGACACUCAGUCACAGAAGAAUCAAACAUCAACCACGCGAUGCCUAAAAAACCCGAAUUUGCAACACGAGUUACUACAUGAUAUAGCCCCAGAGACAAAAUUGAUCCUGUCGGAACUCUGACAUAAACGAGACAGCAAUUCUCGCUCAAAAACCAAAUCUUCUGAAGCUGAAUAUACGCUGAAAAUCCAUAGCCCCCAAUACGCCCAAAAACCCAACCGCACGACUAAAUUCACAACCAAAUUACAACAAAAACUUCACUUCCAUGCAACAUGCACACAGCUACUACUACUACUACAAGCAAAAACACACAUCAGAGACUAAGUAAGAUAUAUAUAGCUCGAGGCAAGAAAGAACACGGACGAACCUGUCUUGCCCUGGAGCCGGUGCUCCUCCAGCGAGAAGCAUCCGCCCAUGGGAGCCCCCAACACCGCGCCUCCCACUCCAAUCCGCCGCUCCCCCUACUCCCGCCUCCCCAUCGCCAGCCUCCUGCCAGAUCCACUCCCAAGAACACACACCACCACCAGUCCACCACCACCAACCCAAGCCCCGCGCACCAACCCGGAAAUUUCGCCCGCACCGACUCCGCCGCUUGGUUGGGCGGAAUUGCUCCGCCGCCGCCGCCCUCCGACCGCCGGUGGAUGGAUGGAUUCGCGCGCAACCGUCGCCGAAAUUUCUGGUGCGUUCUUGGAUGCGGCUUUUCUUUUUUCCUUUGUUUUACUUUGGGCGUUGGAGAAGACGAAGAAAGAAAAAAAAAACAAGAAAAAGAGGAGGAUUUGGAUUAGCUGUGCCAGAGGGAAGCGAGAGUAAAAGGAAGCUGCUUUGGAUUAAUAAAUGCAGCAGGGGAAGCAACUGGGGAGCUGAGCUGAGGCUUGGUUUUUUUUUUCCUUUCUUUUUCUUUUCUCUCUUGUUGCUUUAUGGUUGGAUUGGAGAGGCUUGGAGUUUAUGGGGGUUUGAUUAAUGUGCUGCAUGGUUGAAAAGAGGAUUUGGCCGUGACAGUGGUUUAGUUUGGGUUUUAGUUAGGAUGGUUUUUUUUUCUUUUUUUGACUGAUGGCAUCAUGGUUAAUUGGUUAUUAAGUGAUAUAUGGCCAUAUGAGUUUAUUUGGUAAAAAUAUAGCAUCAUAUUUUUCACUUAAUUUUACUCAUUUUUUUCUUUAUGUGAUUGAUUCAAAUAUGCGCAUGUUUAUGUUUUUGACAGAUUGUUUCAAAUGCUUAAAUUUAAUUAGCCAAGGAAAUAUCAUAUACGUGACACGUCUGGCUAAAAUUAGGGUUUGUUUAGAUCCCAUGACAAAAUUUUUCAUUAUGUCAUAUUGAAUGUUUGGACACAUAUAUAGAGUAUUAAAUAUUAAAAAAAUACAUAGAUUACGUGUAAAUUGCGAGACGAAUCUUUUAAGCCUAAUUGCUUAAUGAUUUGACAAUGUAGUGCUACAGUAAAUAUUUGCUGAUGACAGAUUAAUUAGACUUAAUAAAUUCGUCUCACAGUUUACAGACGGAAUCUUAAUUUGUUUUCUUAUUAAUCUAUAUUUAAUACUUCAAAUGUGUGUAUGUAUAUUCGAUGUGACACGUCAAAACUUUACACCCAUAGAUUUAAACACCUCAUUUGACACGAUUAAAAGACACAAGAACAAAACAAAGCUAGGUCUUUGUAAUAAAUUUAUCAAUGAGUUUCCGAGGGACAGAAAUCCCUGUGCUGUGCCUGUGAUGCCCUUUUGAGUUUUUUGACAAUGGCACCUGAAAUGGAAGACUAGCAACACCACCAGACCAGACCGUCGGUUGCAUUUUGCAUUGCGAAUUCGCAACACGGCCGGAGAGAGGUUUGUCUCCUUUAGCUGUUGAACCUACUGCCCAAAGACUCCAAGAAACGGCAGAAAAAUACCCCAACACGGCAACAGCAAACAGCAACUCCACACGAACUCUACAACUACAAGUUCGCAAAACAAGGGGCUGUUUCCUUGUCCCGGUUCAGCGCAUGUCCCCGAUUCCAGGUGCUCCUCGGAUUUGUUUUUCUUUUCAUCAUCAAACCAAUCGAUCGAUCGCCACCAAUCCAUCCAUCCAUCCACCGUGCGUAUCAAUCAUUUUCUUGGCCACCAUAUGUUUGGUGUUCUGGGAGACGCAAUUUGGCGUGGAAAAACAAUGUGAUUGGCAUGGACUCGGUACGCCUAAAUCCGAACCAAAUCCAAGACACCACAUGGGGGCGCGAGGCGUACGUCCACAUGGGAGCAGAGCCAUCUGUAUUGUAGUACUACUAGUACUCCCCGAACCAUUUUAAAUGCAGUGACCGUAUAUCUUAUUUUAAAAAAUUAUUAAAAAAAUAAAGAUAAUAAGUUAUGCAUAAAAUAUUAUUCAUGUUUUAUCAUCAAAUAGCAACAAAAAUAUUAAUUAUAAAAAAAAUAAAUAAGAUGGAUGGUUAAACGUUAGACACGGAAAUUUGUAGAUGCACUUCAAAUGGAACGGAGGGAGUAGCAUUGCAUUUGCUAUGCUUUGGGAACGAGUUGUUUUGUGGUUGCCCAAAGUUGCGAGAUCCAGGUUUGGAAGGUUCCAUGGAAUGAUUUAAGAAAUGGCAUUAGCGAGGAGAGGGGAUGCUUUUGAGUGGGCGGCAGCAUGGCAUGAAUCAAUCAACCACCGUGUCAAAGUGCUCGCCACCACCCCCGUUUCUCCACUCGGUUUUGUUUGUGCUUAGCGGAAUCCAUUUCUGUACGCCUUCCAAUCACAUCCUCUGCCCACUAACUCCAGCAGGAGUACACAACUUGUUAUUACAAGUGUGACAGCUUCAUCAUCAUCAUUGCAAUAACUCGAAAUCUUAGAAAAUACUGGUAAUUGCGGUGGUAGAGUAGAUAGAUACGAAACCAAUCUGGAGUUGUACUUUGGUGAGGACGCGGGAACGGAGGAUUUUCGGGGCGGAAAACGCCCAAAAAAGAGGUCGCCAUCCACUCCACCACCACGCGCGCGCGCACGCGGUUUGUCUCUCGCCCUUCUUCUCCCGGUCCCCCGCGUGCCGACCCCUCCUCCUCGCCUCGUCUCGCCACGCGCGCUCGUUCUGCCUCGCACGACGACGUACGCCACCUGCCAAAGCGCCAACCCAGCGCCGAACCGGCGCCGCCGAUUUUACAUCGGAGACCUUGAUCGAGCAUUUCACGUCUGCCUUGUAAAAAAAAAACGUACUACUACAUUUAAAUUUAAAGAUUUAUUAGUUGUUUUACUUUUAAACUUUGGAACUAACAGUUUAUUUAUCGAGGAACUCUUAUACAAUUGCUAUAAAUAAAUGCAAACUGGAUAGUUCUGAUUGUUUCGCUGACGAAGGGCAUGUAGACCUCUCAAAAAGCACCUAUGUAGUUCUAUCUCUUCUCUAUUUUUUAAAAACUUACAACCAACAAAUUAAUCACCUUCUCAUGUUCUGUUUAUGGAGGAUGUGAACCAACGCAUGAACAAAUUAGGAUCAAAGAUGCUAGUGGAAGACAAAGGGGUGGUAAAGCUAACAAUCAGGAGUAAUCGUAUGGCACAGAGGGGCACACUGUGGCACACAUAGUAUAUGUGGUAGAGGGGCCAUCAACGACUCGAUGUUAACGCCACCGUGGCAGUGAUGGAGGGGCUCACGUGAUGGCCUGUUGCGGCUAUGUGACAUGGGACAUAGGUUAGCGUCUAUAGUGAAAUGGGGUUGGUGCUAAUUAAUAUGGUAGAGCACACCUAGCUGAAUAUCGAGCGGUGCGUCAGUCGAUGUAAUACAUUUGACAGAGAUACAAGAUGACGACUCGAUGAGGCAUAGGUGGGGAGGAGCACGUGGACAUAAUGAGAAUAAUCCUACAAUGAUACAGGUUUUAGUGUAGAUGCUACUUAACAAUUCUUAUUCACGGGAACCGAAAGAUUCAAUUCGUACUUUGUAGGGCUGGUGUUGCUGCUGUCUGCGUAGGCUACUAGUCUUUUAUGUACCAGUAUCUCACCGACGAAAAAUGAGAGAUAACAUACUUUUUUUCUAACUUUUUUUUUUCUAAAACAAGACUAUAGUUUAAAUUCAAUUGAUUUUUAAUUAGCAAGUGCAUAUAUUGUUAUGUCCAUGCAGCGUGAGAGCUACACAUGAAAGAAGGUCCACGGGAAGAACUAGAAUUCGGCAUUAUAAAGGGGGUAGCGCACGAGACCUAAAAGUGGAUGGAUGCGGAGACAAGAAUUUAAAAAGGUUCAGGCCCUCUCAAUGAGAGGUAAUACCCUACUCCUAUUUAGGGAUUUGAAUUCGUCGGGUUGUAGUAUUGAUCUGACGAUCGGAUUGUGAAUCUCUGCCCAUGCCCCUUGGAGGGGGCUCCUUGCCCGCCUUAUAUAGGUUGGGGGGCAGGGUUACAAAGGAAAAACCUAGCCGGACACGUUAUCAGUAUCCUAAUCUAUUACUCCCUCCAUCCCAAAAUAUAAGCAUUUUUGGACCCUGACACGGUCUUCGAGAUGCUACUUUGACUAACAAUAUCUAUAGAAGUAAGAUGUUUUAAAUAAAAAGAGUUGUAUAUUAUGAUAGUUUGUUUAAUGAUAAAUCUAAUAACAUCAACUUUACAUGAUUGAUCGUUUUUAUUGUUUUGUUAUUAAUGGUCAAAGUUAAAAAUGUUUGACUUGUCACUAUGCUAAAAAUGCUUAUAUUUUGGGAUAGAGGGAGUACAUGGUAGUACCCGAUUGGGGCUUUAUACCCUGCCUUGGAAUACAAGGCAACAUAGCGACCGAGUCCUACUUUAUUACAUAUUCUAUAUACAUGAUCUAUCCCCUGUAACCAGUCGGAUAGCCCAGCCGUGUGGGUAUGCGGUACUCAUAAUCUCCGCAGAAAGCGUCGGUGAAGGAUGGUGGAUUGAUUUUGAUCGGGUGGUGGGGGUCAGGGGUGUGCUUCCAUUCGCGCAGGGAAGGGGACAUCAUGCGUGCGAGAAUCGCUCGAGAGGGCAUGGGAGUCAGGUUGAGCUUAAGAUGGACGAGGGACUGUAAACCACCGCUAUACUUCUAGGCCUUAAGGAUUUAUUAUUUCUUACAUUUAUAGUUUGGAACUAAUGGUAUAUUUUCUAGAUCCUUUGUAACACACUGACAGUGUAAGCUUCUUUUUUCUAUUUAAAGUUUGGAACUAAUUGCGUAUUUAUUUUAUAUCCUUUGCAAUAGGUUGGUAUUCUCGUAGUAUUAUAUAAACUUUGUUGAUGACUAUAGCUUGGGGCCUUGGCCAACUAUAUGAAAUGAAGCUUAACUUAGCACCUCUCAAAGCUGGCUUCGCUUCCAUUCUAUCCAUUACCACUUAUUCAUGUUGGAGAUAUGUAACACCCUGAAAAUUCGACCAACGAAAUCAAAACACCAAAAAUACAGAUUUUCAAAAACUUUUUAAGUAAUAAAUUGCAUCAUGCCGAUUUUAUUCGCCUAUUUCAUUGGAUUUUGAUCUCGGAAUUUAUUAAUCGCGGAUAAUGAAUAACUAACUAGGAAUAAACCCUAAAAAUCAAGUUGGCUAAAUAAAUAAUUAAAAUAUAAAUUAAAAUAAAUAUUAGGUGGGAUUGGAAAUAUAUAAAAUAUUAUCGCGACCAUAUUAGCAAUAAUUAAAUUUUAGUACGAUGGAAUGAGAAUUAACCCUAAUUAAAAAUUCAAAUAAAUUAUAUAAAAUAAAUAUGAGUGAUAUUAAAUUAGGGUGAAUUUUUAGUUAGUAUAACACAAAUAUGGAGUAAACUUCAUUUAUGCAAAAGUUAGAAUUUAUAGGACUAUAUUUAAAUAGAAAAUGGGCUAAAAUCGGGAUAAAUAGGAAAAGUUACUGUUCAUUGCGGCAUAGGUGUUCGAUCGUGGUCCCCCUGGCCCCGCCCCCUUCCCUGCCGCGUGUGCCGCGUCGCCCGCCCGUCGCGCGCGCCGCCGCCGCUGCCGCGCCGUCACCGUCGCGUCGCCGUCGGCCUCGCGCCUUGUGCCGCCGCGCGCCCGUCCCCUCGCGCCUGCGCCCCGCCGCGCGGCCGUCCCCUCGCCGUCACCCUGCGUCGCUGCCGCGCCGCCCAUUCCAUCGCGCUGAGCCCCGUGCCGCCGCGCGCGUCGCGUCGCCCUGCCUGUCACGCCGCUCGCUCGCCACCCGCCGCGUCGCCGUCCCAUCGCCGCGCGCCGUCACCAUCGCCGCAUCGAGCCCCACGCCACCCGUCGCGUCGCCCGUCUCGAGCCCCGCACCGUCGCCCGUCGCAUCGCCGCUCCGAGCCCCGCGCCGCCAUCGCGUCGCCGCCCGCGCGUCACCGUCGUCCCGCCCCGAGCGCCGCCGUCGCGUCGCCAUUACGCCGCCGCCCCUCCCCCUCUCCUUCUCCCCUCUCUACAAAUACCCCCCCUCUCUCCAUUUUCCCCCACCCCAUCUCACCCUUCCUCCCCUCUUCCCUCUCCACUGCGCCGCCACUCUCGUGCCGCCGCGCCGCCGCUCUCGUGCCGCCGCGCCGCCGCUCUCGUGCCGUCGCGCCGCCGUUCCCGUGUGCUGCCACGCCGCCGUUCCCGUGCCGCCGCGGCGCCGUUCCCGUGCCGCCGUGCCGCCGCUCCCGCGCCGCCGUGCGCCACCGUCGCUGCCGCCGUCGUCACCGCUGCUGCCGCCGGUGAGCCGCCCUCCUUCCCCCUCGUGUCCACCGCCGCCGCCGCUCUGGUGGGAGAGAGCCAAGAGAGAGAGGGAGAGGAAAAGAGAGGCCGGCAGAGAGAAAAAGAGAGAAAGAGAGAAAAGAAAGAAAAAGAGAGAGAGAGAAAAGAAAGAAAAAGAAAGAAAAAGAGAAGAGAGAAUGGAGAAAAAGAAAAGGAAAAAUAAAUAGAAAAUUAGGAAGAAAUUAAGGAGGUUAAUAGUUUAAGAAAAUCUAAAAUAAUUAGAAUUUAAUUAUAGAUUAAUUAUGGUCAUAGAAUUGCAAAAUUUAAUAUAAAUUAUAGAUUAUUCUUGGUAAUUUCUACAAGAAAUCAAUUCGCGGUAGUAGUUUAACUGUAAUUAGGAACUAAACGAUUAGAUGAAUUCUUAUAGACUAUUAUAGAUUAUUUUGGGUAAUCUCUAUAAGUAAUCGAUUCACGGUAGAAAUUCGGAUUUAUUUACUAGGGAUUUUAGCCGUAUAUUAUAUUUAAUCAUUUAGUCAUAGACUAAAUUAAAUCAUAUAAUAUUUCUAGGAUUUCGUCCGAUAUUUAGCUCGCGAUAGAAAUCUCUAACCUAUUAUAUGGAUAUAAUGCUCGGGUAGAUUAAAUUAAAAACUUAUGACAACAAAACAUUUAUACCCGCAAAAUAGUUUGAAUCGAAAUUGGGUUUGCCUUAGUUCGCGAAUAAUAAAGUUAAAAUAAAGGAAUCGACUUUCGCGUUCGACUUCCAUUUGGAUUUAUUUGGAUUUUUUAUUUGAAUUCUAAUCGAAUCCAAAUCAGUUUUCGCACGUAACUAUAGAGCCCGAGGGAGUUGCGGAUCCAAGUGAAGGCCAAGACCCCCAAGACCUUGAGCAAGGCAAGUCAUCACUAUUCCUUGAACAUGUUGAUCCCAAUUGCGAAAUUAUUUUGUUUAUAAAUAAAAUUGCAUGCAAUGAUGAACAUCCUACUUGUGAUUAUGCCAUGCCUUGAUUAUUGUUUAUCCCUUAUUCCUUCGUAACCAUGUUUACGUAUGAGUCCCUAGUCAAUUAUGACAAUUGCUUAGAAAUGCUAUUCUAGGAUCAUGCAUACUCAUAUUUAUCAAAUGCUAAAUGCUUGGGCAAUUACCUUUGGGAAGGUAAUUGAGAUGCGGUAUGUGGAGACAUGAGCGCCACAUUGCCAUGAAAUUGAUAACAUGAUUUGUGAAAGGAAAAUAAAGCGAAAACAACUGUUUUCGACUGGGGCGGACGGAUGAUUUGGGUGGUAUCUGGAAAAGGCUAGUACCGUCCCCAGUCAAUUAAGGACCGAGCCAUGAAGUUAAGCAUGAAACGACCCCCGUACAACUGUACUUCUCGAAUGGGUAUAGACCUAGCGGAUUAGAUAGCCGAGCGGAGGCAGUAUCCCUGCAUAGAUGGUUCACCCCUGAGUGAGGCAGGUGCGCUACGAUGGGACAGCCGUUGAGGUAGGGCCGAGAAGCGUGCCCUACAUCGGUGUCGCCAUUGGUAGGACUGCCAUGAGUAUGUGAGAGAGAGAACUUAACUUGAACCAUAAUUUAAUAUGUGUGUGAGACUUCUCUUUCCUGGGAGCGCCAGAACUCCUCUCACUACUAGAAACAUGGACGCCUAGAGUGCAUGAGGAUUUAAGUUCAUGGAGCGGGUACUGCCAAUGCGAGGUUAUCGAAAAGCUUUGCCGUGACGCGUCUCAUGUGUUGGGACGAGGCUCAUGUGUUGGGCAGUCGCGGAGUGCGGGUAAAGUGUACAUCCACUGCAGUGUGAGUAAACCAAAUCUAUUCGAAUAGCCGUGCUCGCGGUUAUUGAGCACCGGGACAUGUAUUACACUUGGCUAGACUCUAAAUUCUUAACCUGUGUGGGAUGGGAUAUUGCAUGAUGAUUUUUUAUGCUGAUGGAGCCACUUCCUGAGAGGAGGGAAGGUGGACGUCCUCAGAAAACCAUGACGACUCAAUGGCGGGAAGCUAUCCUUGGGAUCACAAUGGAUGGUGGACAGAACCGUCGUUGUUUAAUGUGAACACUGGUAUUAAAACUUGAUCAGUCUAUGCUAGGUCUUAGGUUUGUGAAAAGAAUUACAAAACUGGCUUAGCGCAAAAGAGCCAUAGCCAUCCUUUGAAAUACCCCUUUUCAUAUGCAUUGUUGUUGUGGUGGCUUGCUGAGUACGGUUGGUACUCACCCUUGCAAAUAUAAAAUUAAUCAGAAGCAGGAGAUAAAGCUUUGGAGGAUCCCUAUGCCUACUACCAGGAGGGAGAUGAAGACGAUGGCGCUCAGUAGGUCUUAGUACGGUCGUUGCCUGUGGCAAUGGCAUGCCGCUGCGCCUGAAUUCCGCUGCCUUAUCUAUUUCUGCAUUUUGGAUGUAUUCCGAACUGCUCGGUCCGAUGAUUUAAGACAAUGCCUGCGGGCUUAUGAUGUAAUAAUUAGCACUAGACUCUCGUGUAUGUGCUUUUGGUAUUUCAGCUAUGAACUCGUGUGUACCAGACUACUUGAUCCAGGGAAAUGGUACUGUUUACACGAAUGAUUCCUGUUAUAAAAACGGGGGUCCAGAAGAUAUGAUUAGUUAAUGUGACUUACAUUUUGUUUUAGCAUCUGAAUAAGCUAAACGAUGUACUGAUUCUUUAUACUUAUAGUUUCAUGUCACGGUGUGAUCGAUUCAACAAUUUGUUCCACAAAAUUUUUAAAAAAACAACUGUAAACAAUAUUUAUGACAAGCUAAAAGGGAGAAAUGGGCUACAUUGAUUUGGACAUAUAUAUGUACUAAAAUUUUGAGAAAUCAAAUACACACAAUCGUCUUAAUGAAAGCUAACCAAAUAUAACAUUUUUCCAUACAUCCACUAUAAACAGCAUAUAUUUGAAAUCGUGUUCACAUAUAGCUCCACAACAAUGUUUUGGAAGGACACAUGUAUGCCUUAUUUUGCCACUGGCUUAUUACAACAAAAUAACCACAAGAAAUUAAUUGUUUGCUUGCUCACGCAUAGCAUGAUCUCUUUCAAGACAAAAUUAUUUAGAGGUUAAUAAUUAUCAUGCAACCCAAUGCAAGAAUACUCAUGUCUAUUAAUUAGACGUUGAUACCACUCUUGUAUUCAGAGCCGGCCGUAAAGCUUUCGGGGAUGACGUCGUCGACGACACGGUAGCCGCCGUUCUUGACAAGGAAGCGAACGGAGAAGGGGCCCUUGAGCGCCGCCUCACUCUUGAGCGACCAGGUGUUAGUCGAUGACUCCUUGAGUGCCACCCAGUCCUUGCCGCCCUUCUCCUUGAUCUCCACCUCAGAGAUGGCGACGUUGGUGACGAGCUCUAGACUUUUUCCGCUAGAACCCUCACCGACCUUGAAGGUGACCUCAGUGGCGCACGAGCCGACGACCAACAAUGCCGCCACUGCCACAGAGAGCCGGAAGGAGGACAACGAGGCCAUUGGCGAGCUAGCUAGUUUGUUGGUGUUAUCUUUCUUGUUUCUUGAAGGGUAGAGGGAUGGAUCGAGGUGUUUGGUGAUCCAUGUUGUAGUUGGGUGCGUAUUUAUGGUGGCAGGGGGCAAAGAAAACCAGGCAUGGACGCAUGAUGCAGCAUAGAGAUCGUUGGCCGGCUUUUUCGUCGAGCAAGUCUAAUACAAUUCCUAUAAAUAGAUGCAAACUUGGUAGUUCCGAUUGUUUCGCUGGUGCAGGACAUGCAGACCUCUCAAAAAGUAGUUAUGCAUUUCCAUGUUUUCUGUACUUUUUUUUUAAAUUACAAAUAAUAAAAAUUUGUGAUGUUCCGUUUAUGGAGGAUAUGGACCAAGACAUGAAAAUAUUAGGGGCGAAGAUGCUAGUGGAAAACAGAGGGGUGGUAGAGCUAACGGUCGGGAGUGAUGGCCAGGCACACAAAGGGCCACCGUGUAGCAUCCAUAGUAGAUGUUGCAGAGGGGCCAUCAGCAGCUAGAUGUUGAUGGAACCGUGGCAGUGACGGAUGGGCUCAUGUGUUGGCCCGUUGCGGGUCUGCUCGAUAGGGGACAUAGGUUAGCAUUUAUGGUGAGAUGGGGCUGGUGCUAAGUAAAUUGGUAGAGCACACCUAGUCAGCUAGCUGGAUAUCGAGCGGUGGUGGCAGUUGAUACAAUACAUUUGAUAGGAAUACAAGAUGACAACUCGAUGAGGCGUAUGUGGGGAGGAGCACGUGACCUUAUGAAAAUAAUCCAACAAUUCUAGGUCUGGGUGUAGAUUGUACAUUAAAAAGGAGUACACUAUAAAUUCAGUUGAAUUUUUUAUUGGCAAGUGCACAUGUCGUUACAUCCUGCAGGUUGAGAGCUAGACGUGAAAGGAGGUCCAUGGCCAAGCACCGGGGAAUGAUGGUUGAUUGAUUUUGAUCGGUGGUGGGGGUCGGGGGCAUUCCAUUCAUGCAGUGGAAGGGACAUCAUGCGUGCAGGACUCGCUCGAGAGGGCAUGGGAGUGAGGAUGGGCUUACGAUGGACGAGGGAUCAUAAACCACCACUACAUUUUUUAGGCCUUAAGGAUUUAUUAGUUCUUUACAUACAUAGUUUGGAACUAAUGAUAUAUUUUCUAGUUCCUUUUAACACGUUGGUAGUGUAAAGAUUUUUUUUCUAUUUAAAGUUUGGAACCAAUUGUGUAUUUACUUUAGAUACUUUGCAAUAGAUUGAUAUUCUCGUAGUACUAUAUAAACUUUAGAUGGAUCGAUGUGUUUUGUGAUCCAUGUUGCAGCUGGGUGUGUAUUUAUGGUGGUUGGGGGUGGGUGGGGGGGUAAGAAAACCAUGCAUGGAUGCACGGUGCUGCAUGGAUAUCGUUGGCCGGCUUUUUCGUUCGGAGCUCUUGUACAAUUGCUAUAAAUAGAUGCAAGAUGGUGAUUAUAUUGUUAUUUUAUAUUGUUAGGUGCCAAAUUCCGCUGGUUGAUAAGUAAAAACCUCGGGAAAGAGGGUGAUGAUGCACCGAGAGUAGUAUUGAUCUAGAGAUUCAUUACAAUGGCCUCGGGUGUACAUAUUUACACCCAUGGAUAGAUACUAGUCCUUGUAGGACAAGAAAGAAACUUUUCUAAAGUUAAAACGGAAACAUAAAGUCCUUAUUGGACACUAAACACACUUUCCUAAAGAUAAAAGAAAACUAACAAACUAUUCCUAAUUAAUAGAUAACUUGCCAUGUUGUAUCCUUCUUGAACUCGGUCACUUCUGGAUAAGCUUCCUUUAAUUCGAUUAAUUUCCUUAACCGAAUAUAGCAGGAAUCCGACUAUUGGCGAUGUGAUAAUUUUGAUUGGCCGAUUAUAGGAUUCUGAAGCCAAUUCUGACUCUAGUCCGAUGAUGUCUUCGGGGCUUAUCAAAUUUCGCUGCUAACAGAUGUGGCAAUAUUACCAAAUUCCUAAAAUUUUGGCAUUGCCAAAAUUUGUUAAGGUUUAUUUCGAAAAUUGCGUGCAUGCAUCAGGCACCCGCACCUCCCACGCUUGCGCGCCGCCUCCACCAAGUGCACCAUCACAGACGUUGUUGCAACAAAUCAACUGCAUAUUACGGAAACGCUAUAGUAAAGGAAUCCGUUUCAUUUUUUGUUCCACCAAAAAUGUUUCAGCUAGUGUACUCGUGAUGUUUCACUAUGUACGGAUCAAAUGUUGCAGUGAAUUGAAAUAGUAUUUUGCUAUUUGUUGAAAUAUUGUUUUUAUAUAGAGUGAAACAACGUCUGAUUUUUUGGAAACCGUUUGUAUCAUACGUUGUAGCAAAAUGUUCCACGAGGUGAUUUGGUUGUAUUUCAGCUUUUUAAAAGACUAAAACAUUUUCGAACUACUUAGUGAAACAUUCUCGAUCUACUUGGUGAAACAACGCUCGAUUUUUGAAAAAAAAAAGGUUUAUUUUGAAUACAAUCUGAACAUGCCUUUAGUCAAUGGCUCACUGCUAAAUAACAACUAUACCCCUAUUUUUUCCCCUCUAAAUUUCUACUACCGCUAACUAGGAUGACAGUAGAAAGCAACAUGAACCCUUCGAUCAAAUGAGAUCAACGGUUCAGAUUAUUUUCUACAACUAAAUAGCACCAAAGUGAGGCUCGCUUUUUUAUUGGACAGAUUAGUAGAGGCGUCUGUUGGUUGGUGUAUGGAACUGUACGGGUAGAGCUCGUCGUGGACUGUCCGGGUGGAUGACAUUGUAAACGCGUGACCUGUGUACACCGAACUACGCGUACUGGAGUGUGUGUGGAGGACCAUGUUUAGCCUGCCAUGGACGAUGCAAGUCAACAAUUUCACACAAAUACGGAGUAUAUAUACACAGUGCUAGCCAGCUAGAGAGUGGACUAGUCCCACUGUUUUGUUCCUGCUCAUCGGUUUUGUGGUCGGUUGGCAACUUGUCGUGCUUGCUGGUACAGUACGUAAUUAGUUUACCGGCGACUUUAGGAGGCUAUUCAUGUCAACGCCGGCUGCAGCCUGCAAAUGCCAGUACCGUGUAAUUCUCGUGUAGUUCCAACGUCGUGUUUGUCAAAACGUAGCACUGGAUAGCAGACAUGCCCCAACUGCCAUAGUACUUCAGAGAGAAUCCAAAUGGUUCAACCAUACGGGCUCCUUUUUCUUAUUAUAUAUGCCUUGUUCGGUUCGGUUAUACGAUUUAAAUGAUUUUUUUUUCUAUAGGAAUCAUGUGCUAGAUCUUCAAAAUGUAUUGGUUCCAUAGGAAUAAAAACAUCUACUCCAUCUUCUUUGUUCAGCUCACUAAAAGAAAAAAAAUAUGUCUUGAUCCUUAGUAUUGCAUAUACAUUCCUACGCAAUUCCACUGUUUUUUAAAAAAAUCAUGUGACUUGAAAAUCCUGUGUUUGGAUUUUGUUGCUAGGUCUGUUUGGAUGCUUGGUGGUGCGCUGCAACCAAUACAAACAAUGUCGCAAUUUAUAGGUAGUCGCAGCCUCACCUGCCAAAAUGAUUUUUUGAGUUAGAACUGCUUAUUAGAGUGAGGCAUUUUUUUUCAUGUUUUAGAAUUUACAUAAAAAGUACUAAACUGUGGUACUUUAGUUUAAUCUACAAACUAUUUUCUCUAGAACUCACAGCUUAGAGCCGUGCCAAAAAAGGGCGUAAUUUUGGAUUAGUUAAUACUGCUCCCUUCGUUUCUUUUUUUUUUUAGAGUUACAUAGUACAACGCAGACACUCACAGCGCACGUGCACUUAUCUCUAUGAACGUACGCACACAAACUCUACCCAUAUAAGCAUCGUCGAAGACUGCUCCCUUCGUUUCUUAAUAACUAGCACUAGGUAAUAUUCGCUUUAGAAAUUUGAUCACUUGUUUUAUUUGUUGAUAAGUGGAUAGCCCUUUGAAGGUGAGGUUUUUGCUUGUGUUGUAAAGGCUUUGGCCUGUUUUGGAUUAGGUUGGUGGACACUUUUCCUUUCGUGUUCUCUUCUUUUAAUGAAAUGAUACACAAUGAAAUCUAUUAACAUUUAUCUAACAAUGUAAAAAUAAUUAAUGAGAAAGUCAAAAUUAUCAAUUAUUAACAAACGGAGGGAUUAUUAUUUUGUGUUUUCCUCCAAAAACCUGAAAAUUUGAGUGUCAAAUUUCGGCCUGUUAACCUUCAAACAAAAUUUCGGCCUGCUAAGUAUUUGUGGGGCUUCGAAGUGCCAGCUCAUUAAGCUGCCCAUUGACAUGACCUUUUCGUGCGACAAGUCAACGUGGAAAAAUCCGGCCUGUUAAUCUGCGGGCCGUUUUAACUUACGGCCCGUUAUACGUACGGCCUAUUAUGUUUCGGCCCUAAGAUUUGGGCUUAUUAAUCAUGCGGCCCAUGUAGGCCCAUUUAACAGGCCAGAAUUCCGGCCCAUUAGUCUUUAGAUAGGUGGGAUUUGAUGAUCUCUCGCAGUCUCAUCAUCAGCCUGUAUUCCUUUGUUUCUUUUGGGCUAUAAUCAUUUGAUUUUCUUUUUGAACUCAAAUCGUUUCAAAUAAUUGCAUAAAAUCACGCAGAUUAUUCGCCGAUGCGAAUCAGAAUCGUCCCACGCUCACUUUAAUUAAAGUCACACUAAAAAAAUACUCCCUCUAUUUCACAAUAUAAGUUAUUUUAGUAUUUCCCAUAUUCAUAUUGAUGUUAAUGAAUCUAGAUAGAUAUAGAUGUUAAUGAAUCUAGAUAGAUAUAGAUGUUAAUGAAUCUAAGACAUAUAUAUCUAUCUAGAUUCAUUAACAUCAAUAUGAAUGUGGGAAAUGUUAGAAUGACUUAUAUUGUGAAACGGAAAGAGUACUAAACAAGAACAAAGAUUCCAAUUUGCAUCUGAAGUUGUAUAUACUUUAUUAAUCGGCGUCAUGGAGAAAGAGAUUUGCGAUUAGGACCUGACGAAACGGAAGCCGCCAGCCGAUCGCUUUUGUUGACUUCAAACCCGGGGGAAAAUCGCUGGCCGGCAAACGAUCGACGACGUGCGCGUCCGGAUCCAAACACGCGUAAACAAUUAUGGAUGAUGAUACGGUACGACGACGACGGUGGUGGCAGAAGAAAUUCGGCGAAAUUUGCUUGAUUUCCCUAGUUAAUCUACUCAUCAAUUGGGAUGAAUUGGACCACAUGGUUUGAUGAAUCUAAUGUGUGUGCUCUGGUCAGUAGGUUCGAGACUUUGGGUUGACUGAUAAAGUGCUAAUGCAGCCAUGAUGCGAGAUGAUGGAAUAUUUUACUAUCUUCAUCACAAAAUAUAUAAAAGAUUUUCUACAAUAGUAAAAAAAUACUUGGAUCGUCUUCUAUUUAAGAGUUUGGUAGGAUAACAUUAGCAUUGGUUAUUUUUCAGUUACGUUAGAUAGGGUGGUAUGACUAAAAGUUCAUAUUAAAAAAUAGUCUACUUUAAAAUUAGAUAUUUAAAAGUUCAAAAACAAUACAAAUUCUCAGAUUAAGUCGAUUCCAAGCGGAAUUUUAAUACAAAUUCUCAUAUGAAUGUUGUUGUGUUAGUAUACGUAUCCGUGAUGUAUUUGAACAAAUACCAAGUUAGGCAUCUAGAAUAAAUUAUUAUGUUUUACUAAAUACAAAUAUGUAGUACAUAUUGUGGACACUCGAGUUUGCUAACCGUGUUUAACACGUAAGGUUAAACAAUAUCAUCGUCGAAAAUAGAGAAAAAUGAGAACAAAACAAAAUAAAAUAGCGAAAGAAUACUGAGAUAUUUACCCCCAGUAUAGAGAAGAACAAAUUUAUAUUAAAAUUAUGAAAUUUUAAUGAUUCAUUAAUCUCAAGAUAUAUCAGCUCAAUCUUCCGAAGGUACUCGUAGACAUGGAUGUACGUGUGUACGAAGCGUACACACGUUAAAAUAACUUAUAUUGUGGGAGUGAGUUUGCAGGUGCCAUGAGCUUCUACGUUUUAAUUGCAUUCCCCGUAAAAGAUAGUAGUACCAAUGUUUCAUAAUCAGCAUCCUUCCUAGCGUAGUUGUGAAAAAAAAAGGGAAAACAAAAAGGAGAUCGUUGUGCGGUGCCUCGACGAGACGACGAUAUUUCCCCUUCCCCUCGUCGUCGCCUCCGACUCCGACUCCGACUCCUCGUGAGCUCGCCCCGCCGCCUGCGCCGCCGAUCCCGCGAGGCGCGCCGCCGCCGUUCGUCCUGCUGCUUCCGCCGCAUCCCGGUGAGCAUCCAUUCAUCCUCUUCCUCAUCGCUGUGUACCCACUCACUUUUUUUUUCCCUCCAAUUUUGCGUUGAACCCUUUGGUUGUUCCUCUUCUAGACCUCGGAGGAAGCUUUUCUCUUAAUUUGCCUUGAAAACUUGACACGAAUAGUAGUUUGCUUGUUCCCCAAAUUUUGCGUUGAACCCUUGUUGUUUCUCUUCUAGACCUCGGAGGAAGCUUUUCUCUUAAUUUGCCUUGAAACUUGAUACGAAUAGUAGUUUGGUUGUUCCCCAAAUAGUUUGGGGGUUCAGUUUAUUAGAUCCGCCCCUGUUUUAGCAUAAUUUUGAUGGUAUACUUUACUAUAUGCGUAUUUAGGCGCUAAUCAGUUUUUUGUUUUGAUUCUAGAUACCGUGGGAGCACUGAAGAAAACUGAGAAAUGGAUGUUUUUCAGCGAUUCUACUGUUUCGUAAAGCAACCCUACUGUUAGUGUUGGUUGUUUGAAGAUGAUUGAGGGGUCAAGGUUUCAGAAUAUGUUGGGCGGUGCUGGAAUUGGAGGUGGUAUAGGUUGCAGAGGAAGGCAAGAAAACGAGAUGAAUGGCUUCCACAAUAUGCCCUACUACCACAAGGUCGGGGAGAGCUCCCACAUGUCCGUGGAUAACGCCGACAACCUGAACAUGAUGAACUUUGUUGGUGGUUCGGUUGCCAUGUCGGUGGAUAACAGCAGCGUGGGAUCAAACGAGUCCCGCACGGUCAUGCUCAAACACCCUGGCCUCCGUGAUAUGCCGGCGCCGAGUUAUUCGGUUCACAAUAGCGUCAUCCAUCCGAACCGGGCUAUGGCGCCUACUCUGAAUGAGGAUGCAUUGGCUCGGGUAUUGAUGGAUCCAAGCCAUCCGACGGAGAUACUUAGUAAUUACGAGGAGUGGACCAUUGAUCUGGGUAAGCUCGACAUGGGAGCUCCUUUUGCUCAAGGGGCAUUUGGGAAGCUUUAUCGGGGAACAUACAAUGGAGAAGACGUUGCUAUUAAGCUGCUGGAAAAGCCUGAGAAUGACCCAGAGAGAGCUCAAUUGAUGGAACAGCAGUUUGUGCAGGAAGUUAUGAUGUUGUCUACGUUGAGGCACCCAAAUAUUGUAAGGUUCAUUGGGGCGUGCCGGAAAUCAAUUGUUUGGUGUAUCAUUACUGAAUAUGCAAAAGGUGGAUCUGUUCGGCAAUUCCUUGCACGAAGGCAGAACAAGUCUGUGCCUCUGGGGCUGGCUGUGAAGCAGGCACUUGAUGUUGCUCGGGGGAUGGCUUAUGUGCAUGCCUUGCGAUUUAUCCAUAGGGAUCUAAAAUCAGAUAACCUUCUAAUUUCAGCAGACAAAUCCAUCAAGAUAGCUGACUUUGGAGUUGCUCGAAUUGAGGUACAAACUGAGGGAAUGACCCCAGAGACAGGAACCUACCGUUGGAUGGCACCGUAAGUCAUAAUCACGCAUUCACGCUCAUUGCCUACUGUUUACCUUUUUAAAUCUCUGUCAAAUAUGCUUAUCUUGCCAUCAUGCAGGGAGAUGAUCCAGCACAGGCCUUAUGAUCAUAAAGUAGAUGUUUACAGCUUUGGGAUUGUCUUGUGGGAGCUUAUAACCGGCAUGCUCCCCUUCACAAACAUGACAGCCGUUCAGGCUGCAUUUGCUGUCGUAAACAGGGGCUCUCGUCCUGCAAUCCCGCAGGAUUGUGUGGAUUCUCUGAGCAAGAUCAUGACUUGCUGUUGGGACGCAAACCCUGAAGUUCGCCCAUCAUUUGCCGAGAUCGUUGUCAUGCUUGAGAAUGCCGAGAUAGAGGUUAUGAGAAAUGUCCGCAGGGCACGUUUCCGCUGUUGUAUUGCGGGGCCAAUGACCACAGACUGAAACUAAUGCAGGAUAGAGUACAGAAAAGAAAAAAGAAAAGAGAGAGGACACCAUGAUAUCGGUCGCGUUUGCGUGCCGAUAUGGAAGUCUCAUCCCUGGCCUUCAAGGUUUAAAAUUGCUGAUUUCUACUUUAUCAAAUAUGGAUGGUACCUUGUAUGAUUGUAUAUCUUAGCAAAGAGCCGUGUUAUGUAAUUCUCCGAAAUGAGCUAUCUUGUGAAAUAAUAGCAGCUGUAUUUGCUGGUUGAUCAGCAGCUGUUGUGUGUUCUUUGUCUGAAGCGUCGACCUACUUGUGGUCAUCAUCUCCUGGUCUUGUUGAUUUGAGUCGGUUGUAUAUGCUGCCAUUCUUUGCGCCUCCAAAUCCAUUUCAUAUUAUUCUCCUUGUGUUGUUUUCCAUAUGGAUCCAUGAUACUUAUCUAUGCCUAUCAUCUAUGUCGAAGUCAAAUCUAAAAUGUAUCUGCCGGUUCCACUCCGGUUUUUGAUUAUCCAGGUAAAUUAUGCAGAUUUUCCAAGUGGUUUUGUGUCACCAAAUUCUAAACACCUAUAGUCUGUUGAACUUCCACUUAUUGGAGUACUCCGUUCUAAAAUACUUUCUCUGUUCCAAAAUGUUGGCAUUUUUUUUUGUAGGAACAGAUAUUAAAAAAGUAGGUGAAAAUAUUGGAGGAAUAUUAUGAUUGAUUCACAAAAAGAAUGUAGAUGAAGAAUUAUUAUGAUUGGUUGAGAGAAGAUGAUGGGUGAAGAAAUAGCUUUAUUUUGAUUCAUUUGGGACAAGAUUUUGUGCUAAAAAUAAGAAACCUUUAUUUUCCAUAAAAUCUACAUUAAUAUUUUUUUUAACUAAUAUGAAUUAAAAAUGUUUUUGGUGGCAUGUGUGUAGUAUCAUUAUUCGUAUUUUAAAAUAUUUAUAUAUGAUGUUAAUUUUGUAGUAAUUGAUAAUGCAUUAUGACAGAAAUUAAUGAUAAAAAAAAUAUAACGUUAACCACCGUGUAAAAAGCUGGUAAGAUGCACAUAGUACACCGCACCAGUCAGAAAGAAACCAUAUGCUGUCCAGGCGACCAGAAGUCAAGCGCAACGGCAUAUCGGGGUAAAAUCUCUCUCCCUUUUUUAAAGAGGGAUAAAAUUACUUUAAACAUGUUAAGAUUUCAAAUUAUACUAUUAGACACUGAAAAACAGUAUGCACAGGGAAAAAUCAUGUCUUGUUUCCCGAAAGAGCUAAUAUUCUGACAAAUGGUUAGGCAGUAGAUUGUACAACGCCAAGAACAAUGAAUAAUUUGUACAACACGAAGAACAAAGAAUUGCACAACAGCAAUUACAUUUUGACAGAAAUAAGGUUGAAACUAGCACACUUUGUGAACGCUUGAUACUUAGAUGUUGGCGUUCACAAGGUUUAUCUGAAUUAUGGGAAGGUAAAUAAACACACGGAUAUAGCAUUGACACUCGGCAGAUUGGGGCAAGUCUUGGACGAUCUUGGAUAGUCCAGGACGUGUGCUUAUUCAUCCAUACUAGCAGCGACCGUGCUGGUGAUCAUUGCAGGCUUCAAUGUAUCUGGUUCAGACCAAACAUUGAAGACUCGUAGGAAGGUUUGAUCCGCUCUAGAUCCGGAAACACAGUGUUACCGGUGUCCAUUGUGAACUGAAACACCUGAGGCUCUACUGCUUGAUGUUGUCCAUCAACCCAAAAGGGUACAUUAGAGUUUCCUUCGCUUGGUACACUGGGCAAUGUGCUGUUUUGGUUCGAAUUCGUAAAUUGGAUGAUAGAAGAUGUUUGGUGUCCGGGGUCAGUCAAACCCCUUGAACUAGCUGACAGAAGAGAGAGAGCACGCUGAACAUCUAGUGCUCCAUCUAGUUUUGAAGCAGUUUCAGAUGCAUCUGCACCUGCAAAAUUGGACCAUCAAAGCAUUAGAGCGACAGUCGAAAGAAAAUAAAAUAGUGGUAAGUGAUAACAGAAACGUAUGAAAUGAAAAAUCAAGCAUACAGCGCCAGUAAAUAAAACUAGAGAAAAUACUACUCUCAAGACACGGUAUCUGAUUGUAUUGAGCAUAUCAAGGGGCUCGGAGGAUGGAAAGCAUUUAGCAAUAGGAUGGAUCUCAUAAGUUCACUCGUGCAUAGUGGUCAAUGGUGUGAUACCUAGGCUAUAGGUAUCUGCCAUGAUGCCACAAGUGUAACUGGAAUGCUGGAUUGCUAGUCCUACAUGGGUUGUGAAUAUUCAAAUAUACAUAGUAACUAGGAAAAUUUUCAUUUCAAAUGUUCCUAACUUCAAAGAUGGGGGGAAAAAAUCUGCAGCCAAGAUUUUGGCACUGCAUAAGAAACUUGCAAUGUUGUGAAACAACAAAUUGGGAGUUUGGUUUACAGAAAGAAUGCUGAACUAUAAACCUCAAAAUUCAAAUAUCAAUGUACCUACACAUGUUUAAAGUUCGUUUCGGGAUAGAUGCCAGUAUCAACAAACUUGAUGUAUCAACCCAUUUUGGGUAGUGGCCAUAUGGAUUUUACUGUUUUAUUUCUUCUUUUUACUAGUAAUAUGCCAGUGCUUUGCAACGUACCAAGCUCAUACAAUUGAGGAUUGGGCGAUUGGCUGGGUGGAUGGAUUAAGGAUAAAAUACUGGAUGCUACGGUGGUUACGCACACAUGAAGGAGCAGGCGACUGCGCACAGUGGGAAGAGGACAGAAGGAGAAUGGUUGCGCUUUUAAGGUAGUAGAGAUACAUAUUAUGCUGUCAAAUUUAGCAUUGUAGCCUAUCUUUUAAGCCUGUCACUGCACAUGGCAUGAAUGCUAAGUGAAGUAAACUAACUUUGUCAGCAUAAGUAAAAUUAUUCGAGUAGAUUAAUUUUCCAUUCAUGAUAUAAAAAGAUCAUGGAGCCAUACCUUUUAUUGGCAAGAGCUCAUUUGUGUCAUGACAAAGAGUUGGCAAAGCAUUUGACAAACGGAUAUUUGCACUGUCUGCCCCAGCUUUUCGUGACCUUUUGCUUAUGUCCAUCACUUGGGAGAGCUGUAAGUCAGAUGUCCACGAGGAACUUGAAGUGGUGUUUGCAUGGUUAAGUGGAGCGUUAUUAUCCCAUGCGAAACUUAUUUGCUGCCUAUCAUCUGCAAUAACAUUUGAAAUUAAGAAAGAGAAACUUUUAGAAAAUUACAAAGACAAGGAGGGAAACUACCCAAGCAUUAUUAAGGUCAAUGGUAAAUGAUUUUUUGAUUCCUCAAAGAAAACAUGUCAGGAGAACGAAUAAAUGCAUGCUCUUUGUUUUGAUAUACCGUCCAAUAGAUUUUGCAUUGACAAAAUCCCAAACUAAAGUGGCAUUAAUAUAAUACAGUAGUGGCUAAGGCUACUAUCCCAUAUGGCCAUACAUGCUAUUAUUUUCAUAGAAAAUAGUGAAGGAUCCAGCUAAGCAUUAUUUCAGGGAAAUACAGUGUAUGACAUCGUGAGAUAUAAUCUUGAUUUUUUUUCAGAUAUUAAAUAUGCAUCACAUCAGCCAACCACCAACAAUUUUCUCCAAUAUAUUACUAGACAGAAACUACAAACAACACUGUGAUUGACUUUUGUAGUUUAUAUAGGUCACGAGGGUAUUACCAAACAGUGAUCGCGGUAGUGUUCCAGAGCCAAAAGCAAACACAUCUGUCUGUGGUUUCCGUCGACGGGCAUUAUGAUCAGAAAGUCGUCUCCGGCAGCUCCGUUUCUCCUGAUCAAACUCCGAAGGCGCGUGGAACCUUGAUAAUCCCAAGAUAGAACAAAAAAAAUCAUCAAAACGACAUAAACAUGCCGCAAAACGUAAUGAAUUAUUGUUUAUAACCACAAUUAAAAGCAGAAUUUGGUCACAGGGAGUUUCUGGCAAAAGCAGAUGCAAGAAUGCAACUAUGCAAAAUACUACUAUCUACACAUAGCAAUCACUCAUUGUACUAACACACACCUCUUUGCUGAAAAUACACAUUCACAUAGACACGCAAGCCACAGGCCGUCCUACCAGAAAUUCAGGAAGCCUUGCCUUGCACAGACAAUUCACUGUCUUGGCAGCUUUCCAGAUGCAGGGCGUACAGGCAAAUUCUAGCACAGUACUAUCGACGGGGAAACAGGAUCUUACCUCCCCAAAUCAGGCAAGGGGCAGAGAACCUUGUGACCAAUCAGUCAUGCACAGAGUUUCACACUGUACCAGCACAAAAUGGCCACAUACAUAUUUAUACCCUAUCUUUUACUGCACAGGUAGUAUAGUAAUAGUCGUACUAAUGAUUACUACUAUGCACUUAGGCAUAUCGAAGCAAUUCAAACAGGGCGCGAAUUCGCCCAAUCGAAUCACUAACGGGGCGAUUGAAUCAAUUACUAGUAGAACUUUAGGGCUUGUUUAGAGAGCUUCCUGACGGCCGCAGUUUCUCCAGUCUCCUAAGAGAAGUCAGCUUCUCCAGAUUCUCACCAACUAUGCUUCUCAGAAUCUUAAGCGCGGUAUUGGAGGAGAGGAGAGCGAGAGGGGAAGGGGAGGAGGGCUGAGUGGCUGACCUGCUGCACUGCUGGCAGAAGCGGCGGUCCUGGCCGGCGACGACGACGCGGAGGCACUUGGUGUGGGGCUCGCAGACGCGGUGCUUGCGGUAGUACUCCUUGUAGCCUCCCAGCUCCAGCCCGCAGCCCUCCACCUGGCACCGCGGCGCCUCCGCCGCCACCGCCGCCGCAUCCCCCGCUGCUGCCGCCGACCUCCCACGCUUCGCCGACGCCGACGCCGACGACGAAUCCCUCCCGCCGCGCUUCCCGGGCGGCGGCGGCGGCUCGGCGGAGGCGGUGGCGUCCCAGUCCCAGAGCAGGGAGGAGGAGGUGGUGGAGGAGACGGGGUUGCACUCCAUGGGCGGGAUCCCGGGGGUGGAUCGGAGUCGGAGGAGGAGGAGGAGACUUGGGGAGGGAGGAGACGACGCGGGUGGAGGAGGGCGAGGGUGUGGGGGUUAUAGAAUAGGGCCACUACAGUGUGGGGAAGGACCGGAGGUAGGGGUAGUGGGGUUGGUCUCUUUGUUUUCCUUCUCUUUUUUUCCAUCCUAUUUGGUGAUUUUUGAUAUGUUUGGAGUAGUGUCAAUUUGUGCCAAGCUAAUAUUUCGGUAGUUUUAAAUAGUACUUUGAUAGUAUUUGGAUUGUAACCAAUUUUUGCCUAGCUAGUAAUAAAUCUACGCUUGACACUACCAACAUUUUGGUAGGGCCUCAAACCAAAUCAGCUCUUUAUAUUUAUUACUCCCUCUGUUUUUUAAUAGAUGGUGUCGUUGGCUUUUUAAUACAUGUUUAAUCAUUCGUUUUAUUCAGAAAUUUUAUGUAGCUGCAUAAGAUAUAAAUCAUGCUUAAAGUACUUUAGUGAUAAAACAACUCACGACAAAAUAAAUUGUAAUUACAUAAAUUUUUUUAAUAAUAACACGAAUGGUCAAAUGUGUGUUCAAAAAAGUCAACAGCGUCAUCUAUUAGAAAACGGAGAUAGUGUUAAUUUUACUCCCUCUAUCUCCAAAAUAGACUACAUUUGUUCGGGAAAAUAUGUAAGUGUAAAUCGCAAUGUAGUAAAUACUUGAAAACUAUCAUUGGAUUAAAAAAAUAGAUGCUUGAGAUUUGUUUUUAAUUCUUGGUGAUGUGGACAAAUACCAUGCGUCUAUUUUUUAAUACAACGGUAGUUUUCAGUUUUCACUGUGUAUAUGGUUUAAACUAUAUAUUUUCCUUGGUAUAAACCAUCCAUGUAUGCAUAAAUAACACGUCUCUAUCUUCUAAAAUUAUUUUUUAGUCCUCUACCCUCGAGAUCUUUUAUUCUAUUAGAUGCGUACAUUGAAUUUAUUGAGAUGAUUCAAACAAGGAUGCAGUUGACUAGUUUGUAUAAAUAUUUAAUGUUUAUGAUAAUAUUUGAUUAAAAUUUUAAAGCUUUUGCUAUAAAUAUUUUCUUAAAUGUUUAGUUUUGAAACAAGAAAACGAUAUGCCUAUAUUUUUUUUCUUCAAAAGUAAUACCACAAUAUACAAACUUAUUAGAUUUCAUAAACUUACUUUAAUAUAAAAUUGAUGAUAAAAGUUUAAAAGUUUGACCGAAUUUUGCUCUAAACGUUAAAUAUUUGUAAGCAGUGACAAUUAUAUAGUAUUUGUAAGCAGAGAUUGUUAUAUAAGGUUGUAUUAGUUUAUGCAUAUAGCAUAGAGCUAUAGAAGGAAAAUAAAAAUGCAAUAGGCCAUGACAAAACCAUAAAAAAAAAACCUUCAAACCGUGUGCCGACGCUGAUGUGCAUAUGAUUUUUUUUUGUCAAAUACUAUAUUAUGCAUGUCAACGAGGAGCAGUAACGACCUAACCAAUAUCUAUAUUCUGAGCUCAGUUCUCAACCCGUCUCUAAACUUUGAAAACCUUCUAGAAGGUCAUGCACGGUGCUACCACAUUUACCUUAAAAUAAGUUAAUCUAGCACUAGAUAUGAUAUAUUCUAGUAUUGUAAAUCUAAACAUGCAAUACAUGAUUUCGAAAGGAAGUAUAUUAAAACAUGUAGACAAGGCAGUAUGCUCAUAUUUAGACACAGAACUAUAUGGUUUAGUAUUUUCGUUGUCAACUAGGGUUGCGUGUGUACUUGAUAGUAUGGAAUACCCAGAGUAUAUAACUACAAUUCUACAACUAUUAGGGAAUGUCUAUAGUUAAAAAAAUGUACCCUGCUAUAUUUCAGAACCUAUUGCCUUAUGUAGGAAUGCUACUAACCUUUUAUUGAUAAUGGUACUUGGUAGGAUGUAAAGGAAUAUUUCUCAUGCUAAUGAAAAAAUACAUUAUGAGAGAGCAUAGAUUUUUGGUUGUGUAAUGUAUUGACCUAUACUAGUGUUGGAGCUCACUUGUCAUUGAGAUUUACAAUCCAUUCUUUGUCGUAUGGGCGGUUUUUAAAUAUUAUCUCUGUUUUUCAAUAUGUAACGCCAUUAAUUUUUUUAUAAAUGUUUGAUCAUUCAUGUUAUUACAAAAAUGCAAAUAUAAAAAAGUUAUGCUUAAAGAGCAUUUGAUGAUAAAUCAAGUCACAAUAAAUUAAAUGAUGGACAAAUGAUCAAACAUAUCUCAAUAAAUCAACGGUGUCAUAUAUUAAGAAAAAACGGAUGGAGUAACUCAGAAAGUUCAGAGAACGGAAUGCAUCUUGCAUUAUAUAGGUGCCAAAAAAACCCUAAGAUGGAGCCGGUCAAGACUCAAGAGAUGGAGAAAAUUUUCAAUUCUUUUGACAAAUGACAAGUACAGGGGCUACGACCAAUUUAGGGAGGGAAUGUCUGUGCGAACAGUACAAUAACUAGGAUGUUUCAUGACUUCUCGAACAAGUAUGUACACAAGGGAAGGUGGACAUUAGAGCAAUUUUAAUAGUAUAGCCCAUUACUAACUUUAAAUCAUCUAUAGCCAAUAUAAUAGCCAAUUCAUACAAUAAUUGCUUACUAUACUAUUAAUACCUGGUCCCACCUAUCAUACACACAUUAUGUCUUGAAACAUGUGCUGCAGCUGGCUACAGAUCUGUAACCCGCUGCUCUUCUCUCUUUUCCUUUAUCUUUUUAAAAUAUGUUUAUAACUGGCUUAUAGCCUGCUAUUAUACCUGCUCUUAGGACUUGGGACUUGGGAGGCUCUGGUUCAGCUACUAGUUGAUCAAAUGCGAAAGAUUGACUUGGUAGGAUUUUUUAUUCUUUUUUUCCUUUUUGAAAAGAAGAUUGACUUGGUAGUUGCUGAUCGUAUGCCUCUCAAUGUUGCAUGAGCUACUAGUAGUUAGGCCGAUAGUCAUACAAUACUUUGACCAUCAUUGAGACGCAUAUGAAAAUCCGCUAGCUUUUAUUAAGAGCAAAUUCCCUGACUAGAUUAUCAUGAAACUACAGAUUUCAAAGGGUAUAUUAUAAAACUAUAGAUUUAGCUCUAAAUUUAUCACAAAGCUAUAGAUUUAGAUCGUUUCAGAAAAUUAAAUAUUUAGUGAUGAAGUUAUCAUAUAACUAUAGAUAUUUUCAAAUUUAGAUCUAUAGCACUAUUAUUUUUUCAAGUUACAGAAGCUAAAAUUUUGUGGUAAUAUUGAUGUUAAUUAUUUAGUUUAGUGAUAAUGAUAAAUUUGAUGCUAAAUCUGUAAUUUUAAGAUACAUUUUUAUAUAUAAUCUAUAGUUUUAUGAUAUUUUGAUAAAAAAAACUGUAAUUGCGUAAAAUUUACUCUUUUAUUAAUAACGAGUCUUUUUGUUUUUUUCUCUUUCUUGGUUUUCAUGGAAAUAUAAUCUCGAUGGUCAAACACAACACUGUUAAUUCGAACAUCAAAUUUCUGCACGAGUUUUGUAUCAUGUUUUGUACUAGGAAAGAGGGCUUUCACCACUUUUUUUUUCAUGCAUCCUAUAGAGACAUGAAAAUGAUCAUGCCGAUCGACUUCUCUUAUUUUCUUAAACGUGUAGAAUUUGCUCAUGUGAUUGUUGAGAAAUAAUUGCCUAUGUCAGCAGUAGAGUAUAAAAUCAUUGUCAUCAUAAAAGGAGGCAUUGGUGGUCGUUUUCCGUUUCUUUCGGUUGUCUUUUCGUCGUGAAAAAUAAGAACAAUUCUUUGAUAGGAGGGUUUAUGUGUGAUAAUGACGAUGAUAAGAUGAUCAACCCAUUGUCACAAGUUUUUCCCUUGCUUCUCAAUUACCCUACAGUUUUCUAAUACCUAUUCAAGUUUUUAAAUAUUUUUUGUGCCCUUAGUAUUGCACACUUACCAUUUUGUUGUUUGCACCAGAAAAGUACAAUUCUAGAUAUUAAAAGGGAAAAAUAAGAAAUCAGUACUAGGUUUCUUCUGCCACUUACCCAAUAAACUAACUUUAAUUAUUUCCUAAAGAAGCAUAAAGAGAAACAUAUAUAAAUAGACCCUGAAAUGGGAAUGAUGAAUUGAUGAGUCACUGUCCAGCGUCCACUUGUCCAGUGUAGAUGAUUUGAACAUUUUGAAUUCAUUAUUGUUUGAAUUUUGAUUGGCCUGGUUGAGAAAACCAAUGAAACGUGAGUCUACUUUGAUUCGGCAAAAUCAAAAUCUGCCAAUAGAGGCAACACAUGUGUACAUGACGCAGCUACCGCUUUUAGGUCAGAUCCGAGGUGUAAGCGGAUCCAAAUUUUGGUUAUAAAAUAUUGCGAUUUUCGGUAAUUGAAUCUUCGGAGAGAUCUGUUGACAUGAACGGCAACCACGUCAUCCACGUGAAUUUUGCUCGUGGGCAUUUUUAAAUGGUGAGACAAGGUUGCUCAUUUUUUAAGAGUAAAUUAGUCAUGAAUCAGAAGCAAAUCAGAACCAAAAACUAGUAUAUCAACGUGACAGAAUCCGGAUUUCCAGUGACGCAAAUGAGCUGCUGAUUCUCAUCUUCCGUAUAGACUCCUUCGGUUUAUGCCGUAGCUUAAAUUUAACUUCAAAACCAUAGUCAUACAGUUGAUUUUGAUGUUUUUCAUUUUGCAGUACUAGCUUUUAAAUGCUAAGAAUACAUAUGAAAAAGGUUUUUCCUUAUAGAUUUUUUUCUUUUGCCGCUAAAAAACGGUACGUUUUAUAAGCCACUAUAGGUUUAACGAUAAAACUGUGUUCAAAUCGAUAAAACUGUGUUCAAAUCGAACCUUUUCAACUCUACUUUUUCAUUUUUUACAUGCAUAUUUUCCAAACUAUUAAAUUGUUAUUUUUUUUGCAAAAAAAGUUCUACUUAAUUAAUCAUGUGAUAAUGAGCUACCACGUUUUCCAAAAGGUUCCAAAUCUUUAUCCUCGAAUGCAGCUAGGGUCGGAACAAAACUUCGUAUGGAAAACAUGAAUAAUUCUCGCGAUUCUCUGAAAUUGAUUCCCGUUUUGUAAUUAAUCUCAAUCAUGGCCUACUUACUUAAUUUCCAUUUCAUUUUUUGCAGAUUUUGGUGUCAAAUCAAGCUCUUAAUUUAGCCAACAUUGUAGGCCAAGACGAUGGAGAUCCAUACUGCUACUCGAUGCAGCAGCAGAAUUGGUAGAGGGGCGGCACACACUGCCCUCCCUGUGGGUAGCCUCCGGCCGUCUUGCACCAGUUGUCGCAGUCACGUAUAUCCUCGCACUUGCCUCGGCACACGAACUUGCCCUCUCCUGCAUCCAUCAGAAAAGAAAAAUGCCAAUGUUUAGUUCACAAAUCAGCCACAUCCAAACAGAGUAAAUCAUAAUUUGAAACUCCGAUGUUCUCUUUCGAUACUGAGUAAUUAUGAACCGUAAAAAUCAGAAUCGUAAUAGUGAUUUGAGAGGAACAAUAUUAUCUAUAUCUAUACUAAUAUAAAAGAUAGUAGUGGUGGUGAUGAGUCUGCCACCACCACCACCCAACUACCAUACGGGACCCAUGAACGGUGAGUUGCUUAUCUCUUAGCCCCCACAUGCUAUAGAUCUUAUAGAAAGAAAAAUAUAACAAUAGAAUAUUAUGAAAAUUUUCAUCUUUACAAAAUGAUAGAAAAAUAAACAAAAUGAUAAUAUAUUAGACAAUUAGAAGAAAAAAGCAUGUUGCAACACACGGGCAUUAUGCUAAUCUUAGAAAAUCUUGCAAUGUGUACCUGAAGGGAUAAGGAGAGCAGCAAUGGCUACAGCAAUGACAAGGAUCUUCCACAUAACAGAAGAGAAGGUGGCAGCCAUCUCGCUGUUAAUUGCAACCCACUGCUGAAUGCUCUUCUGAUUGGAUUUGUUGGAAGCAAGAUGGUUUGAGACUUUGAGUGAUGCUGCAUCGCAGUCAUCUCUGAUCAUGUGUAUAUAUAGCAGCACGAUAGUAAAUAAAGAGGGUAAUUUUGGUGAAUAGUAGCAUUCAGCUAAUCUAAGCCUCUAGAAGGAUAUGCAUUUAUGACUCUUCUAAGUUUAACAUGCCAUAAUGUCUCUAUUAGUUAGAUUAGAUACGACAAGGAUAAGGCACUUAAUUAUGUGCCAAAGAUAACCAUGCUAGGGCUCUUUUACCAUGUGACUAUUUGUGACCGUUUUUAGACUCAUUGACAAUUUGACACAUGGCAGAGUAAAUCAACCACCUAUUUUUAUAUUUAAUUUAACAAAUUAGGUUCACAUUUAUUUUAGAACAACUAGGUUCAUAUUACCUUUAUGGAAUUAAGAUGCCUGCACUACAUCAGCACGAUAAUAUUUGGUUUUACUAUUGCGUUUCACAGAAUUAAAAUGACUUCCAAGUUUAUACACACCCCCAGCUGGUUUAUGAGCCACUGUUUAGUAUUGUAACAGAGCAAUAUUUCUGCAGUCGUAAAUUGAAAUCUUUGAUUAAAUUAGCUAACAAGUGUGCGGACAUCAACAGCUGAACAGAUUUCAGAUUGUUCAAAGGUGACCUGCAGUCUAUUUUACAAACAACACUGACCUGACAAGUGACAAUCACCCUCAUGUACAAAAAAAGGAAAAGAAAAAGAAAACGACGGCGCAAUGUGCAAUCUAUUACGAUUAGAAAGAGCUGCGGAAAAGUUACUUCAUGCUGUGGAAAAUUUGACUCAGGUAGAAGAUAAAACUCCCAUUUCAAUCUUGUUAUUACUCUUCAAGUUUUUGGUGCUUUUGAAGGAACACCUUUGAUCUUAUAUCAGCCUAGCGAAGGAUGAAACGAAACGUCAAAUUAGUACCCAAGAUACAACGUGCUGACAAGAUGAAACUUGAGGUAUACUAUUUACAAAAUUCUACCUGGCGAAUGGGCUCGGGAAUGCGAUAAUUACUACAGAACUUCACUAUCCCAAUGGCUGAGUCAAGUGAAAUGCGAUGCCCAACUGAGAUGUAGAUCGGCUUCGACAAACUAGGGCAGGAGCACAUUGCCUGGGAUAAGUUAAUAGUUUAGUUCCAACAAUAGAAACCUUUUCAUUAUCAGGAAAUAUAUGACAGAAAUGAAGUGAAGGAUGCAUUCAGAGGUCCAAUAUAGAAUCUCCUACAGCUCCCCAUGUUGUCCCAGACUGUCCAGUCAAUAAAAUUAACUCCUUGUUGCAGUUUUCUUUUGCUUCUAAUUGUCUUCUCAAUUCAGAUUGGUUAAGGCCAUCCACAUGGUGCAGCUGGGGCAUUCAAAACACUGAGGACUUAGUCUUCUCUCAGAGGAUCAGAACAUCAGAAAACCAUCAAGUACUUGAAAUGGUCGGAAAACAACUAGAUGAGAGAACUUCCAUAGGAGUAGUUGCAAUGGCAGUAAUAUUAAUACAUUUUUUCCAACUCCAAUGGUCGGCAGGUCUGCAAGGACACCAAGAUGACAAGCUAAACCAAAACCUGUUGAACAUAUGUAAGUUAGAGGGUCAUGCAUUCAAGUAGUUUAUUGAUGCAGCUUGCAGUGUAUAUGCAUAACUAGACAUGCUGUACGCUAUCACCAAGUCAAUUGACUAGGGACUACAAGGACUGUCAAGGUAGUUCGUUCUAAAAGAAUAUAAUAUAAUCAUGUUAUGUGUGUGAUUCUGCAGUUUUUUUCUAAUCACAUGAAUCAUCUUAGUCUUACAAACUAAGAUUGCCAUGAUACUAAUCACUAAUGAGGUAUAC
rnacentral:lncRNA from 1 species